rnacentral:lncRNA from 1 species
UCAGAUUUGAUGGCCUGAAGUUCAGGAUGGCCAAUACGAACACAAUGCUACGAUUCUGUCGGUCACUGAACUUACCUUGGGAGGAUGCCCUCCUGGUUGUGCAGAAGAUCAAGGGUAGGCUGUAGACAAGAUACAUGUAAGGUUUAUCUUGUUUAAUUUCUUCCGUUUACUAGGCAUGUAAGUGACGUGUGCUAGAGUUAGAGUGCUGUCAGCAUGUGGUUGCAUUUGCAAAAAUUCAAUAAGAAAGUGAGCUGAUCUUAGGGAAAACGGAACUCUCCGUUUUUAUCAAUUGCUUCUAUAUACAUGCGAAAAAUGAAAGGAAUGGCAAUCUACUGCUUCAGUUGUGAUGAUUGUUGUGAGGUAAAAUGUUGCUGCCUCCGUUUCGAAUUAUAAGAUGUUUUAACUUUUUUUCUGAAUCUGAUCUAUAUAGACGCGUUUUAGUAUGUUUGUCCACUCAUUUUUAGUCUGUAUGUAGUCUAUAUUGAAAACAUUGAAAACAUCUUAUAAUCCGAAACGGAGGUAGUACUAAUUUCUCAUCGGAAUUCCAUUGGUUAGUUUUGCCUAAGAUAUAUUUUGACUAUUUUUGUGGAUUUUUUAAACAGAUAAAGGGUAAGUGUUGGAGAGGUGCAAGAAAUGAACAGGAGGAAAAAUGAGAGAAGACGAGAAAACCGAAAAAAAAUAAAGUACCUAAACAUAGAUAAGAAAGCUUAGGAUGGCACUUCAACAAUUUAGUUCCUGCGAUAGUUUCGGUCGUGCAAAUUUAGUUUGAAUAAAAUUUACGGUGAUGUUAUCUGGGGAAUGUCAGCUGGGAAAGGGGUGGCAAGUGAAUGCAUUUUUCUAUCAGUUUUGGUUGUAAAGCGAGAUCAAACGGUGACAGUUUUAGAAGAAAAACGCCCUUCUGUAAAGAAAUUGACAUCGUUGUUCUAAAGAAAGUGCCACCCCUCGUACAACUAAAACCGUCACCAAAACAUUCGCAAAUGCCAACCAGUGAACGUGCAGUAGCUAAGAGGGUCCAUAAAUUUAUUCUUAAUGUAUGUACGCAUAUUUAGUUUAGAAGUGAAUUUGACUAUAAACAAAUUUGGGAAAUGAUUAUGAUCGGCCGGCCAAUCUAGUGUGGAACGUCCGCCGACACGUGGCCUACUGGAACACGCGCACGCCUCAGCAAACUAUGACUGUGCAAGUGCGCGGCGUGGCAAAAAAUGUUGCUAUAAUCUUUGCGAUAUGGGUCUUAUUGCACAAAAUUAGAUGUGGCGGAGGUUUUGCAACAAGAAUCUUGUUGCAGGAAAUUAGAGAAAAGAAAAUUAUGCAAUAAUGGUAUUGUUGCGGGAAACUAGAGAAGAGAAGAUUUUACAACAGAAGUCUUCUUGCAUGAAACUAGAAAAGAUUAUUAGAUGCAUCAUGAAAUUAAUUUUCAUAUGAUAUAAUUUUUUUAUUGUAGAUGUUGAUAUUUUUUCCUACAAAGUUAAAGUUUGACUUUGACCAAAUAUACGGACUAAAUAAAAUGAAGGGAGUGUUUUCAAGCCUCCGGUAGGGUCAUAAAUUUAACAUGUGAAAUUUGGUGGACAUGUUAUGUGUGGGCGGGAUCCGCAUCCUCGAGCCGUCUGAUUUGUUGAUGGAGCCAUCAUAUAGUUUCUUUCAUUUUUUAUCUUUUCUACAACAAGACUCUUGUUGCAAAAUUUUGCAAGACCUUUGUUGCAAAAUCUUUUAUCAAUUUUAUAUUAUGAAUCUUGAUAUCUUCCCCUAAUCCCCUAAUAAUAAUAUAAUACUUUAAUAUUAAUCUCUAUCUCUACCUCUCUACCUCUCUAUCUCUACCUCUCUAUCUCUACCUCUCUACCUGUACCUACUAAUAAACCACGCAUUGCUUCUGGUCAUCCGUCGCGCAUUUUUGCAAAAAAGCCAUUGCACUUUCUAAUAUUCAACCCGCGGUCCCUUAUUAGGUGAGAAAACCCUUCGUUCUGACCAUUGUUUUUGCAAGAAACCCUGUAGUUUCCUGUAUUGAACCCGCGGCCCUUUCAAAGUGAUAAAGCGUUCGACAGCGCGAGGAAGACGCGCGGAUCCGGGCGCGGCGGAUCUGCCGGCCGGUGCGGCGGCUUGCUCCGGUGGCGGCGGCGAUGUCUUGCUCAUCCAGUUAAAGAGAGAGACAGGGUGUGAGGGGGAGAGGAAAGAGAGGAAGGCAUAGAAGGAGAAGUGUCGCAAGAUGAGGGAGGGAUCUCGCGGCUGGUGCGGGGGCUUGCUCGCAGCGGCGUCCGUCUCGUCCAGAGAAAGAGAGAGACAGGGCAUGAGGGAGAGAGGAAAGAGAGGAAGAAAGGAGAAGGAGAAUGGGCGCAAGGUGACGGAGACGGUCGCUGGCGGUGGCGCCUCCGGUGACCGGCCGGCGGCAGGGCGACCUGCACUUGGAGGAGGAGAACUGCGCAAGAUGGAUUCCAGCACCCUCCUACUCAUAUAAUGGUGAGACCUCCUUCCCUCUCUCCCUUCCAGAGCCAUAGGCUAACGACAAGGACAAGUCCCUGCUCGAGAAAACAGCAGGGAGCAACAUGAUUCACGGUCUAGAUUAGAACAACACUGAACUGAUAUAUUUUUUGUAGUACAGGAGCUUCAAGACAAAGGGCAUCAGGCUUCACGGCAACACAUUUAUCUAUAACUUUCUCCCCAAAUCUGAAAGUAUUUGGCCCCUAAAUUCUAAUUCUCAUUAGAAAGUCAGAGUAUUUGUGGAAUAUGGUCUAUGAAUAUUGACAAAUUUGAUUGCAGCAGGGGCGACAAAGUUAGUGCAGUCCUCACCGUGCACAUAUAUUUCAGGGUAAAAUCAAACUUCAGUUAGAAGGACAUGAUCAGGCAGGAGAUUCAUGCAGCAUUGGAUGUGAGAGGCCCUAAAUGCAUUUAGCAUGUGAAAAAAUGUGUUUAAUAUUGUUCCAAGUUGUUACCUUUCGAAAAGAGAACGCAACAGGGAUAAUUUUUUCUUCGAAGCACGAGUUAACCACAAGGAAUCUCCAUGCUUUUGCACCGGGUGUGAAAUCAACUUUGAAAAAUUGACAUGGCUAUUGUUUUUGCUUUUCCUGCUCAAGACAACAAAGGGAUUGUUCAGGCUGAUUUGUGUUUGUGCAGACAGACCUCAAGGAACCUCUGCCGAAGAUUUACGUGGUGAAGGACUCGAACUGUAUCUCACGUCCACUCGGCCACACCUGGGUUGGCUGCCAACAGCCCUCUGAUUGAACAACUGCUCCGUCUAUCCGAGUCUCUGUCGGUCGACUGUUCUUCUCGGACAUCACCAUACAGCUCCUCAGCAGCAAACUCAUGUGCUUCUCCACCAGAAUCAAUUCCCGAGCUGUUGAUAUCCCCUAUUCCUCUAAGGAUAUGCCCAUGGUAAUUUUUUCCACAAGACGAGUGUUGCAGUAUUUGUAUGAACUGGAGUACUGUACUGUUGCAGUAGUGUACAACUGUACAUACAUGGUUUGAAAAUCCUUUCUUUUUCAGUUAUAUAUUAGAAUGGAAUUUGUACGGCUUGGACUGCAUUUUCACAAUCAAUAUGGUGUGUUCAAGUAGUGUAAAUUGUUUAACUUGCUUUUUGGCCAGUAUCCCGAUAUAUGUGGAUGUAUCGUUGCUUUUUACAAUCAAUUUGUAAUGUUGCUUAAUGUACCGUUUGGUCUGCUUUUUUGGUCUGUAUCCCUGAAUCGACGCCCUUAAGCUCCUGUUGAUUUCUAUAAUUCAUGAGCACAUAUGAGCAUCAAAAGAAAAUAUCCCAUGAUGAAACGUGAGCAAGUCUUGGUGAAUGAACUGAUAUUUUCAUGCAUUACAGGUGAAGCAAAAAAAAAUCAAGCUUUAUAAGCUCCGCGGCCUCAAGGCCAAUCCCCAGGUUGAUGCCACCGCUACUGACUUUGCCACAUCCCUAUUACAGUUUAAUUUUUAAUUUAUUAGAGAAACUGGAUCAGUGCUUGGGGCUGGUGUGCUACGGUUGGUUUAGGCAUGUGUCCAACAAGGCGGCGGCCACUAUAAGAUACUCUCCUGAGUUAGGACGGGUUUCGAAUUUGCUGCUAUUAUGAGAAAAAAUAAGAGAGAAAGGAAUGUGAUUUUUGCUGCUACUAUAUGAUGCUUUGUUGUUACUGUUUUCUGUUUAUUGUAUCGACUGUUUGUCGUGUGAACUACCCAUCAGAUUUAGGCUCGGAUGAUUCAGAUAGGAUGGAAGAUGCGUAGGAAUCGUCUGUGACAUUCUCAAUGAAUUCGAUCCCUCGCCGGCGAGCUUCAUCAUGUAAGACCUUUAGUAAUUUCAUUCAAAUUUAUCUAGCAACAAUUGCAUGACUCUAGACCUGAACAAUUGCACCCUAUGAAAAAAAGAUUACACACAAUGUGGGGUUGGUGUAGAUGAGACAGGGGUGGGCCAACAAUCAUUACAGGUCGGUCGACCUGCCACAGGACCGGACAUGUUCGAGAAAACUCAAUCCGAUGGCCGCAUGUGUCGUGUCUUCUCUUUCGACCUAACUUGUUAUGUGGACGUAGUUGGAUUUUUAUUUAGCUAAUCUGUGCUUGCUGAAAUUCUCAUAUGAUGCAUGCGUUCAUGGAUGAGAAUGUGGAUUAAUUGAUAAAUUCAAUGAAGAGUAUAUAGGGGAAGAAUGUUUUAUAAGAUACGAGCCUUCUUUCCCUAAGGGUUGCUUGGUAUUUCUGCUUUUUAAUAUUGAUAACAUAGGUGCAUAUUCUUCUUAAAUCUGAAACAUAUGUGAUCUUAAAUUGUUUUGCAUAAUCUAGAAUUUAGUUCAUGGGCUCAGUUUGUACUUCGCCGUUCUGGUGAGAAUAAGAGGUAUUUUUAACUAUAUACUCACAUAUAUUUGAGAUAAACAUGGGAUUGUCAAAGUAGUCAUGUAAAGCAGUGGUUACUCAAUACAGUGGAUAGUAAAAGUUCGUUUACACCGAUAUUAAGGAUGGUACAUGCAUCAAGUGUAGAUGAUACAAGGAUAGUGCCCACAAUCAUUACAAGUCCGUCAAUAGACGAGGCUGCAGGAAAGAGCUCGCGAAAGUAGUGUGCUAAGUGUUAUUACCAAGCUCGUCACCUUAGGAUUCAUCAUUCAUCGUGAAUAGGCGGACAACUUGACCACCAUCGGCGGUAGUGAUGAGGAGGAAAAGCCGCAACGCUGAUGGAGCGCUAGGGACAUGUCAUGAUUUAUUUUUCCCGUGGCAACGCACGGGCUCUUUUGCUAGUAUAUAUAUAUAUAAUAAUAAUAAUAAUAAUAAUAAUAUAAUAAUAAUAAUAAUAAUAAACCGCGCAUUGCUUCUGGUCGUACGUCACACAUUUUUUCAAAAAAGCCCUUGUGUUUUCAGUAAUUAAACCCGCCAUCCUAUUUUAAGUGGAUUAUAGGAGAAAACGUUUCGCUUAUGCAAAUAACACCCUGUAAUUUGGUAUUAUUCAACGUCAGUCCGGUGAGGAAAACAGAGAUGCAGACGGGAUAGAGUGAAUGCAAAGAGUAGUCCCGUUCACUGUCGCUCCCGCCGGCGACGACUGGCUUGCCCACGCGGCGGCCCACGCGAGCAAGGCCAAGGGACGGCCCAGACGGUCGAUGGUGGCGCUGUCAUCGUUGUCCUCACGCAUGUAGACGAGGCAGUGGGGAGGGUGCCGGCGCUGGUCGCAGGGGAGGCCGAAGGGCGUGGACAAGCCAGAUCCGGGACGCAGGACGGACACCGGCGGCUUGGGGACAUGGAUCCCGCAGAUCUGAGCAGCGGCUGGCGAACUCGGAGGCGGCGGUGGCGUGAAGACAACCGUGGUGGUGGUGGCAGCAGCGGCGAGGCUCCUUGCGUGCUCCUUCUCAUGGACAAGGGAAAAGAGAAAGAACUGAGAGGCAGAGGAGAGAGAAACGAGGGAGGAGGAGAGGCGCGUUGGAGCUCCGGUAGCGGGCGGCGUGCACGAUGGAUCGGGUGCUAAGAAAAGAAGGGAAUCGGGGAUGGGGAGAAGAAAGGUGUGGGGAAGAGACGAGAGGAUGAGAGGAGGGGGCUGAGAAGAUAAGGUCGGAGGGAAGAGCGGCCAAACGACACGCGUUGCCUGUGUGUGAGACGGCUGGUGCCCAAGCGCGGGCUGGAGACUCAAGGCUUGAUUCUCGCCAUGCAAAAAACGAGAUUAAAGAAAGAAGUUAACUAACUUAGGAGGAAUUAGCUAGAAAAAGGAUUUUUUUUAACGAGAAAGCUACAAAAGGAUUAAAUGCUUGAUUAUGGCCGUUGCAUUCAUCUGUUUGCUUCUCCGUAUCUACAUGCACAAUUGCACACGAUUGACGAGCUUGGUUCUACAUUUCCUUUUCAUCUCGACGAAGUUGGAUACAUGCACAGGAUUGAUGGUUUUUGUUCCAUUUUUUUUUCUUCUUUUAUUUUCUUGAUUAAAAUUUUCAAUCAUUCGUACCCAUUGUAACCCCAUCUGUUUGUGUUGACAAAAUAAUCUCUGAGCGCUGCUGAUUUCGGUUCAUACGAGUGCAUUUUAUGUCAGACAUUAUAAUUUUCGUGAGUUUUUGUUGUUCAUCCGUUGCAACGCACGGGCCUUUUGCUAAUUUUUUUUAAUAAAUUUAGCGAGGAAGUACAUGUACGCGCAUUACGUAUUCUAGGUUCGAAGGCGGAAAUUAACGAAGACGUAAACCUGCCAGUUUCCCACCUCCCUCCCCCCACGGCCCCACCCCACGGAAACGCUCUGGUCCGUCGCCGGAGAGGCGGAGAUGGAGAACGCGGUGGUGCUCCGGGAGUGGUUCGACCGCGUCGACGCCGCCGGCACCGGCAACAUCACGGCUCCUCAGCUCCAGGUUCUCCUUAUCCCCUCGCCCCCCCUACUCGGAAGUGCCGGCGACCAGAAUUCGACCACUAACCCGGAAAUCCGCUCUCCUCCCGCCAGAGCGCGCUCGCCGUGGGCAACCUCGACUUCCCCCUCUCCGUCGUGCAGCAGAUGAUCAGGUCCUCCUCCACCUCCUCUGGCCGCCGGGGCUUUCAGCUUGUGCGCUCUGUCUAAUUUAUCCGAUGACUCGAGCUCAUUUGGGGAUUGGGAGGGUCAAUGAUGUCUGUACUGUACUGUGCAGGAUGUAUGACUUCGAUCGGAACGGCACCAUGAGCUUCGAAGGUUAGCCGCUCAUAUCCGCAUGAACUCUGCUACUCUAGGGAAAGUUGACCAUUGACUCCAUGCUGUGAUCACUUGGAAAGAUGAUCUGAUUUUGACCUCGCUUGCUGUAUCCCUUUGUACUUUGCAGAGUUUUUGGCUCUUAACAAGUUCCUUCAGAAGGUACUCCCUCCUUCCAUCUAUAUAGGGCCUAAUCAUUUUUCGAGGCUAACUUUGACCAAGUGUUAUAGUGAUAAUAUAUGACAUGCAAGUUACACAAAGCAUACAGUCAAAUUCGUACGUGAAAGGAGCUUCCAAUGAUAUAAUUUUCACAUUAUACAUUUCAUGUAUUAUUAGUCUUAUGAAUAGUCAAAGGCGGUCUUGAAAAACACAUUAGGCCCUAUAUAGAUGGAAGGAGGGAGUAUGUGGGGUCUCCAUUUCGAUCUGCUCGGCAUUCAGGAUUAGUCACUGGCAUGCACAUUUGUUUUUCCUUGUCGAAAAAUUGAUAGUAUUGUGGCCAUGGCAUUUGAAGUUUGGUUAAAUGAAUUGUUAAGUAAGUUGGCCUGCUAUUCUGUAUAAUAUAUGUUACACUACAUUUGAGAGGAGUGAGCUUCACUGUAAUGCAUUCCUAUUUCCAUGCUUCCUGUUUGACUUGAUCGUUUAUAUGCACUGCUCCUUUUCAAUUUGCAGGUGCAGGGUGUCUUCUCCACCCUAGAAAGGUAUCAUGUCUCAUGAGUUUGUAGCCAUGUGCGGCAUUCAUAAAUUGUUCAAAUGCCACCCUAAACUUUGUUACAGUUUGUAUUUUUCUUGACUUUAGGUGUUCAGUUUGUUUGUGCGUGUGUUUUCAGAUAUCAUUCUUGUACUUUUCUUAUCCUCUCCUUAAUUUCAGGGGUCGUGGAUUUCUCAGCCUUGAGGAUGUGUAUGAGGUGAUAUGUUAAUUUCUCUAGUUUUGAGAUGUACUGUCAACUGUGUCCCAUAUGAGCAACAUUACAUGGAUUUUUUUUAAUUCCCUCCAUGUUCUAUACAGGCACUAAUCAAACUCGGUUUCUCGUUGGAUUCACCUGCCUUCUACACUGUCUGUGAGGUACUUCACUUUCACUGCUACUGCAUGGUUUAUCCUAGGAUUAUUCAUGUCUAGCUUUAGAGGCUCUCCCAGAAGGCAUCAUGAGCUUGUGAUUAACUAUUGCAGUGAUACAUUUGAAGGGUGAACCUGUCCAAAUUUAAAACUUGAGAUGUUAUUUAUCCUAAGAUGCCUUUUCUUGCAAAUUGGAGCAUCUAGGUGUAAAACUAGUGUUCGUCGAUCGCCCGUUGUUGCUGUUCAGAAAACCAGUGUUGGUCGUUGAAGUACUAAGAUGAGUUAUAUGAUCAUGGGUUUUCAUAUUUGAGCUUGAAAUGGGUCAUGCAACUGAGAAAAUGUAGGUGGAAACUGAAGUCAACAGUGAAUAUAAAAUGAAGAAUAUGCAGUAUAUCCCUGUAAAAAAAAACUUGCAGUAUGACAGAACUUGAGAAAAUGCUACUUCAGCAUUCUUUACUUCAUUCGUCCGAUCAUAUCCAUUUCCUAGCUACGCAGCCUAGAGCCCUUUGCUAGUACUAGCUGCAUUUGUGCUUCUUAUUCUUUACUUCAUUUUGUUUAGCUAAUUUCAUACCUGUCUAUUCUCAGAGCUUCGACAAGAGCAAGAAGGGGAUGGUUCGUUUGGAUGAGUUCAUAUCGAUCUGCAUCUUUGUGCAGUCAGCUCGGUACGCACAACAUGUUUCCGACGUGCUUUUCAAUGUUUCACAGUACACAGCUGUUGGACAUCUUCUACUUUGCAACUAAAACCUAAUUGUAGACUGGUCUGUGGUUACUUGAUUUACAUUUGAAUAACAAGGAACAUUUUGCAGAAUUGUGUUCCGUGAUUUGUCUCUCCCAAAGUGCCAUGUGCUAAAUUUUACUCCCAAUUACUGAUGAAACAUUUUCUCGCUUUCCAGUAACUUGUUCAGCUCAUUUGACACAACCAAGCAAGGGAAAGUGACAUUGGAUUUCAACCAGUUCGUCUACUGCAGUGAGUUUCCGCCCCCCUCUAUCUACCGAACUGCUUAUAUCUCAUGCUCGUCAGAGUCUAGACAACCUUAUAUAUUCCUCAAAGACGGAUGGAAGGUUUUACCGCCCUUGUUCACUAACUUGCAUCUUUCUGCAUAAUCUACAGCGGCGAACUGCAGGAUAUAGCUGUAUUACCUGAAACCUGUACAUGGAAGACCAAAAAGGAAAUGCCACCCUUCACCGGAACCACAUGCCAAAGAAUGUUCUGGUGGCACAUACAUUUGGAAGUCCAAAUUCCAAGCCAUCAUUUGGUUUAUAUUCCUAGUGUUCCUCAGAUAUUUUGUGAUUUUAAUGCCAUCCAGGUCUGUAUACACACACACAAAGAAAAUAAAAAAAAAUGCUUAUGCAUGACUGUAUGCUUUGUGAUUCUGCAUCUGGAAACCCAGGAACUGUACCAUGUUUGGAUUAUUAUUCUCCCACUUUCUUGUCCCCCCCUAUCCUGCAUGAGUUCCAGGGGGAGUUGACCAUUGGUUCCUCCAUGACGUGAUCACUUGAAAUGAUGUUUUUUUAGAAAAGGACUUGAAAUGAUGAUUUGAAUUAUUAUCAGUAUAUAUUUUGGUUGGUAUCCAUAAUAUAAGAGCGUUUUUGACACUACAUUAGUAUACGGCCAGCCAUGUCUGACAUCCAUAAAGUGUUCUAGUGCCAUGCUCUCUGUCUGAAGCAAUUUCUUCUACAAAGGCCUAGAAAAGCCCAUCUGGCUACCGUGUCAAAGUCAAACUCUCGCCCUCCCCCAAACCCCACAAAAAAACAAAACCCCGCUCGAUCGCUCCCCCCAUCCCCAGCCAUUCUCCGGCGAACCCGCCCCGUCCGCCGUGCUUCGGUAGAUAGAUGGAGGCCCUGGCGGAGACGGGGAGCGGCGGCCAUCUGGUGCCUCUCCUCGACGGCGGCGGCGGCGGCGGCCUGGACGCGGCCCUCCUCCGCCGCCUCUACGCCGGUCACUUCCUCGCCAGAUGGGGCGCACGGUACGUACUACGGGCCUUUCCCUUAUCGGUUCGGCGAUUAAUCCCAUCCCACCCUCAUUCGAUCGCAUUCGCGUCGCGUCGCAGCAUGUGGGAGUUCUCGGUGGGGCUGUACAUGAUCCGCGUCUGGCCGGGCUCGCUGCUCUUCGCCGCCGUCUACGGCGUCGUCGAGUCCGCCUCCGUCGCCGUCUUCGGCCCCAUGGUCGGCACCCUGGUCGACAGCCUCACGUACCUCCAGGUUGUUCAACGCUCUCUUUCACUCUCUGUUUCCAGAAGAUCACGAGAAAUUGCUCAUUGAACCUAUGACUAGAAACAGGGCAUCUCAACAAGUUCUCUUUCCCGUGUAAAAAGCUGUUUUAAGGGGAUUUCGGCAAACAAGAAAAAAGAAACUACCCCAAUAGAUCUCGUAAACGCGAUUUUUUUGGGGGACCUCGUAGAAUCAGCCCAUGUGAGCGUAGAUUGCAGCGGAAACGAUCAAAACAACGAGCUAUUUGUUGAUAUGCAUUUCAGCAAACACCUUGUGUGCAUGCAGGAAAUCUGAGCCAUAUCAUGAAAUCCACAAGCACCAAGCUAUGCAAUGUUUACCACAACAAUAUACUUGCAAGAGCAGCUCGGUACAAUAUCAAUACCCCAACAUAAUCAUCAUCUUAUCAAAUAACCCAUGUAUGUCAUGCCCCCAAUAACUAUAUUUAAUAACCAAGUAAUAAAUCAAUCAUGAAUAGGGAUUACUAAAUAAUUGAGAAUGUUAGGUUUCAUGUAAACUAUGUUAGAGUGUGCUUGGAUACGUUUUAGUCUCAUGACUAAAAGUAGUGGGACUAAAACUUGCUAGCCUUACUCAUGCUUGGAUCCAAAUACUAAAAAGACUAAAAUCAAGUUAAUGAGCAUUUAUUAUCCUCCAAACCCUUCAAUCCAGAACUCGCCUGUGUUAAAGGAGAGGAGUUAAAUAAGGAGAGAGAAGACUAAUCCACAUUUUAGUAGGGGUACCCCCGACUAAAACAUUUUAGUCUCAAGACUAGUUUUAGCCCCUCUUUAGUCAGGGUGCUUGGAACUUUAGCCUCUUAAAGAAGUCUAAUUAAAAAUAGUCUCUUUAAGAGGCUAAAGUUCCAAGCACCCUGACUAAAGAGGGGCUAAAACUAGUCUUGAGACUAAAUUUUUUUAGUCGGGGAUACCCCUACUAAAAUGUGGAUUAGUCAUCUUUCUCCUCAUUUAAUUUCUCUCUUUUAACACAUGCGAGUUCUGGAUUGGAGGCUUUGGAGAAUAAUAAAUACUCAUUAACUUAAUUUUAGUCUCUUUAAUAUUUGGAUUCAAGCAUGGAUAAAGCUAGCAAGUUUUAGUCCCACUACUUUUAGUCAUGAGACUAAAACGUAUCCAAGCACCCUCUAAAAUAAGUCUCUUGGAUCCAAACACCCUCUUAAUAAAAAAAUUAAGAUAAAUAAUUUGGGAUGGAGGGAGUACAAGUUAGUCCUCCACAUUGUAAAAACUGUCUCGAAUAUAUUACUUAUCAUAACAAUGGUAUUAUGAAACAACUAUCUUGGAUAUAAACUAAUUAUGUAAAACUGUGACUCUGAUAUACCUCAUAUAUAUGUGAAUGUUUUACAGAACUGUCUUGGAUGAGCAGUAAGGAUGGGCUGACGAAGAGGAAUUUCUUAAUCAUGAUUAGCAGUCGCCAGUGACUUAAUAUACAUGGCAAAAUGCAGUUUUUGGGCCUGUGGCUGCUAGUUCAAAGCUUAUCCUUCAUCGUUGCUGGAGUCUCGGUAACCGCGCUGCUGGUCUACGAUGACCUGAAAGUGACGAGCUUCCCCGUCUUCGUGGCUCUAGUCGUGGUCACCAACGUGUCAGGCGCGCUCGCGGCGCUCUCGACUCUCGCCGGAACCAUACUGAUCGAGAGAGAAUGGUACACAAUUCCGUUCGACACCCACAACUUAACUAAGGGCUUUGAUUCAAAAGAAUUUCAUAGAAUUUUCGGAGGGUUAGAAUCCUUAGAAAUUUUUCCUUCAUUGGUCGUUUGAUUCAUAAGAUUGAAUCAUAUAGGAAUUUCUCCUACGGAAUCAUGUGUACUACAUUUUAUUGGAAAUCUAGCAUUCACUCAAACCUUUUUUCUCACUUUCUUUGUUUUUUCUAUGUCAUCAAACACUCUGUGCUAAUCCUAUGAGAUUCAAGUGGGCAUGCCAUUCCAAUUCUUUAUUUUUCUUAUUCCCGCGUUUUGAGAAUCCUAUGAAUCAAAGAGGGCCUAACUGUAUUAGUUGUACGUACGUGUUGUUGUUAGAACUUGAUGGCCGCGACGAUGCAUGCAGGGUGGUGGUGAUGUGCGGCGGGCAUCCGCCGGCGGCGCUGACCCGAACCAACUCGGCGAUCCGGAGGAUCGACCUGAGCUGCAAGCUUCUGGCGCCGGUGCUGUCGGGGUUCGUGAUCAGCUUCGUGUCCACGCAGGCCUCUGCGGUGGCGCUGGCGCUGUGGAACGUCGCCUCGGUGUGGCUGGUGUACUGGCUCUUCGUGUCGGUGUACAACAGCGUGCCCGCUCUCGGCGCCAACAGCCUGGCAAGGGACGCGGCGGCCUCGGCGCCGGAGGCCGACGAGGCGGUGCAGGGUUACUCCCAGGACGCGUCGUCAGAUUGGAGCGAGAGACUGACGGCGCGGCUCUCCGUCCUGCCCUGCUGGGAGUCCUGGGCCGUGUACGCGAGGCAGGAGGUGGUGCUGCCGGGUGUUGCUCUCGCCAUACUCUACUUCUCCGUGCUAAGGCAAUUCAUUAAGCUGCAUGAUGAGUUUUUUUACCCAAUUUGAUGCACGGAUUCAGCAAUAACUUGGUACAAUUUAUUGGACCUUGAUCUUGUUUCCGUUGCUGCUGCAGCUUUGGCACGCUGAUGACGGCGACGCUGGACUGGGAGGGCAUCCCGGCGUACGUGACCAGCCUGGCCCGGGGGUUCAGCGCCAUGGUGGGCAUCGCGGCGACGGUGGUGUACCCGGCCGCGCACGCGCGGCUGUCCACGCUCCGGACGGGGCUCUGGUCCAUCUGGACGCAGUGGUGCUGCCUGCUGCUCUGCGUCGGCUCCGUCUGGGUGGGCGGCCGCGUGGCGUCGGCGUGGGUGCUCAUGGCCGGCGUUGCCGCCUCGCGCCUCGGCCUCUGGAUGUUCGACCUGGCCGUCACGCAGUUGAUGCAGGACGGCGUGCCCGACGCGGACCGGUGCGCCGUCGGAGGCGUCCAGAGCUCGCUGCAGUCCGUGUUCGACCUGCUCACCUACGUCAUGGGCAUCAUCAUCUCCGACCCCAGGGUACGCACGCGGUUCACUCGUGUCUUUUGUUUCGGUCAGUUGUGUUGCCAAACGGCGAGACGAGUAUGACUUUGGUGAAUGCUGAUGAUGAUCUCCGUGUGCAACCAAAUUAUUACAGGAUUUCGGCGAGCUCAUCGCGCUCUCCUUCUUGCUGGUGACCUGCGCUGCGGCCAUGUACACGCUGCACGUGUACCGCGUACGCAAGCACCUGUUCCACCUUGACAAGAUCUUCGCCAAGAUGCAAUAGUCAUGAUCUUUGCUUCUCGUGGGUGGGCGUUAGCGUUGACUAUGCUCAUUCUAACUAUGCAGAGGUUGGGUGUGUACUCAUUAUAAUUAUAUCACUCGAUGCUACAGUAUGAGUCGAUAAAAGACGCCUGAAAAAAAGAAAAGAAAGUGAGAACAUGCGUGUGCAUGACUCUAGGAUUUGUAGUUUUGUAGUAGUAUAUGAACACCAUGGUUGAGAGUGCAUUUUCUAUCAUGCACGGUACAUACCGUGCAUUGUCUACAGGGUGGGAAAGCUGGGAAAGCUAUCAUACUAGUGUACUAAUCACCUGCUGUACGUCUCACUUCUGUCAUAUGGUCAGUUUGUAUGUCAGCCUUUUUGUNNNNNNNNNNNNNNNNNNNNNNNNNNNNNNNNNNNNNNNNNNNNNNNNNNNNNNNNNNNNNNNNNNNNNNNNNNNNNNNNNNNNNNNNNNNNNNNNNNNNNNNNNNNNNNNNNNNNNNNNNNNNNNNNNNNNNNNNNNNNNNNNNNNNNNNNNNNNNNNNNNNNNNNNNNNNNNNNNNNNNNNNNNNNNNNNNNNNNNNNNNNNNNNNNNNNNNNNNNNNNNNNNNNNNNNNNNNNNNNNNNNNNNNNNNNNNNNNNNNNNNNNNNNNNNNNNNNNNNNNNNNNNNNNNNNNNNNNNNNNNNNNNNNNNNNNNNNNNNNNNNNNNNNNNNNNNNNNNNNNNNNNNNNNNNNNNNNNNNNNNNNNNNNNNNNNNNNNNNNNNNNNNNAUGAGAACAUGCAUGCAAUAAGUUUCUUUUAUAUUCUUCUCCCCUAUCCCCUUGAUAUCUUCUGAAAUAAAAGUUUCUUUUAUAUUCUAUUUAGACAAAUGUUUUCAUACCAAUGAUAUAUUUUAAACAAGACUUGUAGAAAACUUAUCUAUGUACCAUGAGUUUUUGUGCUCAUCAAAUUGAUCUAUAGAAAACUUGAUGAAACUUGGUACAUAGUUUUUCUUACAGUUUCGUAAGGUCUCGCCAUGUUUCAGAUUCGAAUUUUAAAACUUGUCAAAAUAUAUUCGACGGUGAUCUUAUUUUCAAGUUCCCUUCAAAAGGAACACAAAUAAGCAAAUGUAUCGUAAAUCAAACUAAUGGUUCACAAGAUAAAAUAAAUUUAAAUUUUAGAAUCAUACUCUCAUAUAAAAAUAAGGCAUGAGUGAGUGUAGUACUGUUGGUAUUUACUUCGGGGGUGAGAGGAGAGAUAUUGCAGGUUACUAUAGUAAAAAGUUGUCUGCACGUGGAGAAAAAGUGACAGGUUGACAGGGUCAUAAAUUAUGGUUUACUAAACAGUACAAUGAGAACAUGCAUGCAUGGAUCCGAAUCUUAAAGAGAGUGAGUGGCUGAUAGAUGCAAGGUAUAUAUCAUGCAUGGGAGAAUGUCUUUUCUCCACCAUGGUUGGAUUAUUCUCCCACUUUCUUGUUCUCUGGAUUUCAGUAUUUUCUUCUGCAGUGAGAAUUCCCGCCAUCAUCCCAUAGCAAGGUUGAAUGGAAAUUUAAAAGAAAAAAAACAGUGUUAUUUGAUGGGCCCAGCCUUCUUUCCAUUAGUGUAUGGAUCAAAUGCAAGGUCCAGUAAGCAAGCUCAGCUGAGAAGUGUGGCCCACAGAACAGUCGUGAGAGCUGAGAGGUCAGGCGAGCUCUCACCACUCACCUCCGUCUCCGGCCAUGGCGACCAUCUCGGCAGCUCUCUCCGUCUCCCUCCUCCCGCCCGCUGCCCGCCGCGCCGUCUCCACCGCCACUUCCUCCUCCCCGCCGCGCGUCAAGGUAUAGACACACCCACCAGCCGCACUUUCGAGCGCCCUCGCCGCGUCCUCUGAUUCCGUGGUCCACGCAGAGAGCCGCGCGGUUCAGGUGCUGCGCCGAGCCUCCUUCCCCGCAGCAGCAGGAGACCCCCGCGCCGCUGCCCUCCCCGCCGGAAUUGCCUUCGUCCCUGUGGGGCGUCUCCACGAGCGCCUGGACCGCGGGCGUCGCGGGGCUGGGGCUCCUGGAGACCGGCUACCUCAGCUACCUCAAGCUCACGGGCUCCGAGGCCUUCUGCCCCGUCUCCGGGGGAGGCUGCGGCGACGUGCUCGACAGCGACUACUCCGUCGUCUUCGGUAGUUUCCUCGCCCACAGCCCCACUGCUCAUGGGAUUGAGGGCUAGUUCUGAAAAUUGUACUGCUUUCAUUAUGCUUGCAUUGUCAGUAUGUAGGUAGGAUUGUAUGUUGAUAACUUAGCGACAUUCGAGAUCCGGUGCCCAUUAUAUUUCAAAUGUUGCGCAUGGUUGCAGAUUCAGAAUUUAUACAACUAUGUAUGAAUUUCCCUUUUAUCAUUCUGCCGUGGUGUGUGUGCUAAGAUACACUUUCACAUAAUACAGUGCUAUGGAUGCUCAUAGGUAACAAUUGGUAUGUCUUAAUUCUGUAGGGAUCCCUCUUUCAUUAGUUGGUAUGGUGACAUAUGGUGUGGUGACUGCACUUUCUCUGCAAGAAAACGGAGAGGAGUUACUCCCUGGACUUGAUGACUUGGAUAUCCGCCUAACCUUGCUUCUGCUUGCUACUUCACUGGCGACUGCGAGCGCUUAUUUUCUUUUCAUCCUGAACACCAAAUUUGUCGGGACGUCUUGCUUAUACUGCCUAUCAUCAGCAUUUAUCUCCUUCACAUUAUUUUUCAUCAGACUAAAGGUGUGUGCUUUUCUUAAACAUAUCAGUGUGUUCCUCUUCUUCAUUUAGACCUUUUGAUAAUCAAGUAGCCCAUCCAACUAACCUUGUGCUCCACGGAAUUGUUGCAGGACAUUGGCUUGGCACGUAUCCAGAAGUUUGUUGGUCUUCAGUUAGCUGUAGCUGUCAUUGUUGCUCUUGCUUUAACAAACUCAUAUAGUUCAGCUACUACUCAGUUAAAGGGGUGAGACUUCCUCUCACAUUGGUUAUAAACGUUGAAUGAUGGGAUUGCCUCAGCAGAAAUACAAAUUAUAAGGCGUCUUUUUUUGCCAUUUACUUGAAGUUUCAUCGAACGUGCAGCAAAACGUUACAUUUUACUCUCUAUUAUGGUUGUAUGUUUCAUAUCCCAUAGUGAUUUUCUCUUCCGGACAACCAUUUUACUUUUCCUUUUUUACUUAGGAACCAGCCAUUUUGAUUUGAGGUCAAUGUGAAUUUUAGUCUACAUAGUUCGUUUCCUUUAAGAUCAUCACAAGUGACUAAUAGACUUUCCUUUUUCCUUCAUUUUAUGCAGCACAGGUGAUUUCGUAUUAGAACCAUACAAAACAGAGGUAACAUCAGAAUCAACCCCUUUUGCUAUUUCACUGGCAAGACAUCUACAUUCUAUAGGUGCUAAGAUGUAUGGAGCAUUCUGGUGUACUCACUGCAAUGACCAAAAACAAGUACGAGUUCUUUCAUCUUCCUUGAAUCAACAGCUUUUAAUAGUUACUACCACAGGACCUGAUUGUUGCUGUGCUAGAUCUCCAAAAAUGAAGUAGAGCAAAAUCAAUCAAGACCUACUUUAUAAUUCUUAGCAUAUAUGGUCAUGCAGUUGUUUGGUCGUGAAGCUAUGGAAAUUCUGGAUUAUGUGGAAUGCUUCCCUAAUGGAGCCGGUAAGGGGAAGAAAAUGGCCAACGAAUGUGUAGCCACUGGUCUGGAAGGUUUUCCAACAUGGGUCAUCAACGGGAAGGUACUCCCCAUAACUUGGAUGUUUCCAUUAAAGUUCAAGUUCAUGAUGACACCCAUUCAGCGUUUUAUGUUGAGGCACGAUUUAAGUUCUCGGUGCACAUGUGCAUUUCUGCCAGUAUUGGGCACACACUGAAUCUGCAGCUUAUCCUCGGAUGACAUCCUCUGUUUUACUUCGCAGUUGCACGCAUCUAGCUUUAGUUUUCCACAUAUGAUGUUGUCGGUCACUACACUACGUCAUGGCUUGCCCAUGCUUCCUAAGAUGAUGAAAGCACUAUGCUUCCUAUGUGUUCACGAACUGACUAUGUACCUUCCUUCCACUCAGCUCCUGAGCGGCGACCAGGAACUCUCAGUCCUCGCAGAAGAAUCCGGUUUUGUUUCCGAGAGCCCCGAGCAAUCCUGAGGCCAUGGACCUCGACGAGCAGAAGCACCCCACUGAUUCGAAGUGCGGAAAUCGAGAGCUCUCUAGAGGCAAGAACCUGAAGCUUGUGGUAGUUAACAGCAAUGCCACAAAAAUCUCGGCCGAGCUUCAGAUGAGGUGCAUUCCAAUGGUGCAUAAGUAGAUUAUACAACUAAAUACAACCACUAACCACUGUAAUACUAUGUAAAAAACUAAACCUAUUUGUCCUCUCAUCGAAUGGGGCUGAAGGAGAGCAUCGAAUCCGGGGCAAAUUAUACUACGACCUUUUUGUAGAGCCUGUAGUUUUUUUUUUUUUUGAUAAAAGAAGGGCUUCCCCCUUCCGAUUUUCAUUAAUGAAAACCUAAGCAUCCACACUAGACAAGCUACGACAGGAAGCAAACGCGAAAAGAGCUUGUAGUUUGUGCUGUAAAACUUGUAAUCCUGGAAAACCACAAGGUUUUCGUAGUAAUUCUUUGCACUUGGACAUUUGCAGUCCUGGGGAAGUACACUCUGUGUGCCCUCCACCCUUUGAAACGAAGGGUUUCUGCUCUCUGGGAGCAUAUGGGAAUUCCUGAGCUCAGCAACGUCGAUAGUUGAGCCAUUGAUACUUUCUUGGUAAAACUGAAUUUCUGCCUGAUUUGUGCAGAAAGCCAGAAACGCAAGGAAAUGGUCUAAUUCUUGCAGCAACUGAGGCAAAAGCCGUCUCCCUUCCCCAAAACAUAUGGAUAUGCGAAUUCACUCGUGUCUCUGGGAAAAAUAUGUGAGCGUGUAAAGCGUGCAUACUCAUGUUUCUGGCAAAAGGAGAAAUAAAGACUUAAUGAUCUUUAUUUAUAGCUCAAGAAAUUCGACAUAUGCACUCCGGGGUUGCGGAAGAUGUAGAGAGAGGGAGGGAGGGAGCAUGGCACACUUGGGGGUUUCAGAAAAAGAAAACUGAACGGAGAAAACUAUAGGAUUUAUUAGAAAAGUUUUGAAGGAUUGUGAAAAGCAUGGCACAAAUGCACUGUGGCGCUUUAUUCAGCAGAAACCUUUAUUUUUCUUGCUUUAUUAAGGUUAUUUUCUGCAGAAGAGACAUACACAGCUGGUGCUGCCCUCCGACCUCCAGCACGUUUUUUGUUUGACACGGGUGCCGAUGACUUGCUGAAAGAAUCGAGAAGAGGUGUCUAGAGGGGGGGAGGGGGUUGAAUAGACUUUAAUCAAGAAAAGUUGCAGUUUUUAAUUCUUUAGGUUCAUAUGGAGUAUUAGCACAAGUUUAAACAUUCACAAUACAUAUCAAGCAAGCAUGCAAGCAUACAAAGAGUAUAUGAGCAGCGGAAUGUAAAACAAUUGCAUAUGAAGGUAAAGGGAGGAGUUUGAGGGAGCAAACACAAUGUUGACACGGAGAUUUUUGGCGUGGUUCCGAUAGGUGGUGCUAUUGUACAUCCACGUUGAUGGAGACUUCAACCCACGAAGGGUAACGAUUGCGCGAGUCCACGGAGGGCUUCACCAGCGAAGGGUCCACGAAGAAGCAACCUUGUCUAUCCCACCAUGGCCGUCACCCAUGAAGGACUUGCCUCACUAGGGUAGAUCUUCACGAAGUAGGCGAUCUCCUUGCCCUUACAAACUCCUUGGUUCAACUCCACAAUCUUGUCGAAGACUCCCAAGUGACACCUAGCCAAUCUAGGAGACACCACUCUCCAAGAAGUAACAAAUGGUGUGUUGAUGAUGAACUCCUUGCUCUUGUGCUUCAAAUGAUAGUCUCCCCAACACUCAACUCUCUCUCAUAGGAUUGGAUUUGGUAGAAAGAAGAUUUGAGUGGAAAGCAACUUGGGGAAGGCUAGAGAUCAAGAUUUAUGUGGUUGGAAUGAAAUAUCUUGACCUCAGCACAAGUGUAGGUGGUUCUCUCUCAGAAAAUAUGUAUUGGAAGUGUAGGCAUGUUCUGAUGGCUCUCUCCUCGAAUGAAGAGUGGGUGGAGGGGUAUUUAUAGCCUCCACACAAAAUCUAACCCUUACACACAAAUCACCAAACUCAGUGGGACCGAAUCAUGAAACUCGGUCAGACCGAUUUAGUUCAAAAUGUGAACGCUGGGAUUCUCGGUGGGACCGACAUGUCAACUCGGUGGGACCGAUUUUGUUAGGGUUAGGGCAUAAAGUAAUCUCGGUGAGACCGAUUUUGGUAAUGGACUAACAGAGAGUUGGUCAGGUAAACUCGGUGGGACCGAUUCGCUCAUCUCGGUUGGACCGAAGUGUUACGAAAGGGAAACAGAGAGUUUACAUUGCAAUCUCGGUGGGACCGAUCGCUCAUCUCGGUUUGACCGAAACGUUACGAAGGGAAACAGAGAGAUUACAAUCCCAUCUCGGUGAGACCGAGAUCCCUAUCGGUGAGACCGAAAAUACUAGGGUUUCUGGCAGUGGCUAUGUUAACUGAACUCGGUGGUGCCGGAUAGAAAUAAUCGGUGGGGCCGAGUUGGAUAUUUGGUGUGGGACAUAUGUGGAUAUGAGAAAGUAGUGGAGGGUUUUGGAGCAUAUCACUAAGCAUUUUGAGCAAGCACCUCAUUAAGCAACACCUCAUCCCUUCUUAAUAGUAUUGGCUUUUCCUAUAGACUCAAUGUGAUCUUGGAUCACUAAAAUAGAAAAUGUAGAGUCUUGUGCUUUGAGUUUGAGCCAAUCUUUUAUCCUUAGCAUUUUGAAGGGUCCACUCUCUAAUUCAUGCCAUGCCAACCAUUGAGCUUUCCUGAAAUAUUCAUCUUGGAAUAGUAUUAGCUCAAUGAGCUAUAUGUUGUUAGGAAUUACCAAAACCACCCAGGGAUAGUUGCAUUCUUGCCACCGAGUCGUCCCACUCGGUCACACCGACAGGGUCAGUUUAUAUAUACGGACGGGCCAAAAUUUGAAAAAAAUUCCGAACCUCCUCGCCCGCGCAUAACCUACUCUGCCUCCUCGGGUCUUCGGAUCGUCCUCUCAUCUCCAGCGACCUACCGUCGCUGGUCUCCGCCGCCGUCAACGGAAAUCUUCACCGCCGUUGCCGCCGUAGCAAGUUCGUCGUCGAACUAGGGUACGAACUUGAUCAUUGUGCUAAUCCUUAACUCCGAUUCUUAGCACAUUGCUUUACCAUGAUUCUUGCCACGAAUGAAAUCAUCCUGUCCAGCGAAAACAUCCCGUAGACUAGUUUUGAUUUGAAAAUUUAGGGUUAGGUCUCCGCCGAAUUCAUCUCGGACCGACCGAGUUGUAGAAAUCGGUCUCACCGAUUUUGGCUUAGGCCAGAGCACACGCGUUUUCGGUCUGACCGAAAAUUGCAAAUCGGUGUGACUGAGUUCAAUUCUCUGUGAAACCCUAGCAGUCUCGGUGCCACCGAACUGUGACUCGGUCUGACCGAGUUCACUAGUUUAGGUUCCAAAAACUGCUUCGAUAUCACCGAGUUUACAAACCGGUAGAUCCGAAAUGCUUUUUGUGAAGAACUAAAACUAAGUUUUUGAGUCAAUUAUUUUUGCAAAACUCAUGUACUUUGUGAUGCUCAUCUACUCUACCUCAUCUAUAAUCCAUUCACAGGGUCUGCUGAUAGUUUGCCUGCACGAUGUCUGACCAAAGUGAUAGCCAGAACAAGUCUGAGGAGCAGGUUCAACUGAGUGAGGGCACUAGUCCCUCCAGUUCAUCUGAUGAUGGCAGUAGGAGCACACCAAGUAACUUGCCAAAGGCAGCCACCAGAACAAGAAAGAAGAAGACCUCAGAUUCAGAGGAUGAGGAUUAUGCGGCUGUUGAGGAAGAAGUCAGCUCCAAGAAAAAGGUGCUGAAAAAGGAGUACGACUCAGCUGCUACAGUCAAGCCAGGGAUGCAUAAGAAGGCACCAGCAAAGAGAGUCCCCAUGUCUAAGGCCAAAGCAUCCACUGCUGAAGCCUCCAAGCCUUCUGAAGAGGCGGUUGGAGAAGGCAGGAAAAGGAAGGAAAGGGUCAAGAAGACCACUGCCAGAGUGCUUGGCAGAUCAUCAAUUAUGAGAGACGAUGAUGAAGAGGAUGCUGCACCAACACCCAAAGCUCAAAAGCUCAUGGGAGAUGCAAUCAGAUUAGGGGCUGCUCCAUCUAAGCCCAAAGCCGCUUCCAAGGCAGCUGCUCCAGCUCAGAAGCCCAAGAGAAGCACUAGAAACAUUUCUGCUGAGGAAAAGAAUAAGGCCCCAAUGCCUGAAGCUGCCGAAGAAGAUGGAACUCAAGUGCUAAGGAAUCUGAAACCCAAGAUCCCUGACCACAAUGAUGCACAUCCAGUUGCAGAAAACAUGAAAACCAGGAAGGAUGCAGGAUUGAGAAUAUGGAGAGAGUCUGAUCCAUAUGCUAUCAGGAGAAGAACUGCCGUGGACUACAGGUUUCACACUAAGGAACAUCAGGACUUCUAUGAGACAGUGUUGCUUGACAAGAAGCCCAUUGUGUGUGACAUGAAAUGGGUAGACUAGGAGUACAUCCAGAAGAACGAAGAUCACUAUCCUGGAGUGUAUAACGGUUUUAAGGCAUGUGGAGUUGAUGAAUUUGUUGCACAAAAGCUCACCAAGUGGAAUGAUCAGCUGAUCAUGCAGUUCUACUCCACUGCCCAUUUCUAUCCAGAUGGGAAGAUUGUAUGUAUGUGUGAGGGUACUAGGUACCAAUCCACGGUUGAUGAGUGAGCCAAGCUUAUAAAUGCUCCUGAGGAACAUGAGGAUGACUUGGAUGUUUAUGCAGAGAAGAAGAAAGACCACAACACUAUGGCCAACGUGUACAAGAAGAUCCCAGAUGCUGCCUUGGAUACACACAAGUUCGGACCUGUCCACUACCUGUUGUCUGGUAUGCCUACCAUAAACUGGAUAUUAAAGCACACACCACUACCCAAGUCAGGUGAUCACAAGAUGAUCAGAGGACAUGCUAUAAACAUGCUACACAUAUUUGAUGUCCCACAGAAGUUCAAGGUCAUGAGCCUGAUUGUUGAGACAAUCAAGAUGACUGCUGUUGAUCAGAAGAGGAGUUGUGGGUAUGCUCCACACAUUUAGGAGCUCAUUAACUCAAAGAUGGGCACCGGCACAUAUCUUUUGGACAAGGAACACCUGUCCAUCUAUCCUGAAUUUGAAGACAACACUGUGGUGAUGGAUGAAAAUGAACCAUCUUCAGCUCAAGCACAUGAGAAGAGAGAGAAGGCAAAGGCAGAGAAAGCUGCAAAAUGCCAACUGUUGAAGAGGCAUCUCAAGUGUUCUUGAAAUACAAACAAGAUCAACUUGGAUAUCCGAUCCAAUCCACCCUGAGGAUUGAGAAGGGCUUGGCCACCCUGACUAAGAACCAAGAGAGUUUGGAGAGGAUCGUUGAGCAGAAGUUCUAUGAUCUGGAUGUCAAGGUAACUGAGAUCCAAACUGUAGUUGAGCAGCUACAGGAGGAAGCAGAGGAGAGGAAGGGAAAGUCUACUACUAAUGCUUUCAAGCGAGUGCCACGAGGUCCAAGGUCUGCUGCAGUGCCUGUGACAGAUACUCGAGCUUCAGUGUCAACACCAGCAGCCAUGGCUCUAGUGCCACCUCUAGCACCCACUCCAUCAGCUCCAACUACUUCAUCGGAAGCCUUCGUCCUUGGAGUUCUCUCUACACCACCUCCUGAAGAUCAAGCCUGAGAGUCGUUUAGCACUAUGCAUUUUUGAACUUUUUGGUAACUUGUUGUCAAAGGGGAAGAAAAAUGUAUAGAUCAUAGGCUUCGAGAGAGAGUGUUGUUUUUUAUCUCUCUUGCUAUUUUGGUUACUUCUUUAUUGAGUGCUUGUGUGAGAUACUUUAUGUCCUUGUGAGAUACUUGUUGAUCAUGUGUUUGAUCAUAUGCUACCCUUAAUGUUUGGUUGAAUGAUGCUAUCUUUUAUAUCUCUUAUAUGAUCAUUCACUUGCUUGGUGAUGAGUGCAUGCUUUUAAUCUCUAUCAUUUUGAGCGCUCCACCAAGAUGCAUGUGACAUGGAAGAGUAACCCAUGAUCCUAAUCGAUUGUGCAUUUGCAUUCAAAAGCAAAUUUAAAUAAUGCACAAAUUUAGGGGGAGCUCUUGCUUAUCACAUACUUCUCAAAGCGACGAUGUUUUUCAAUCUUAUUUAUCAUUUGUCGAAGCUUUGAUCUAUAUGUUGUCAUCAAUUACCAAAAAGGGGGAGACUGAAAGUGCAACUAUCCCUGGGUGGUUUUGGUAAUUCCUAACAACAUAUAGCUCAUUGAGCUAAUGCUAUUCCAAGAUGAAUAUUUCAGGAAAGCUCAAUGGUUGGCAUGGCAUGGAUUAGAAAGUGGACCCUUCAAAAUGCUAAGGAUAAAAGAUUGGCUCAAGCUCAAAGCACAAGACUCUACAUUUUCUAUUUUAGUGAUCCAAGAUCACAUUGAGUCUAUAGGAAAAGCCAAUACUAUUAAGAAGGGAUGAGGUGUUGCUUAAUGAGGUGCUUGCUCAAAAUGCUUAGUGAUAUGAUCCAAAACCCUCCACUACUUUCUCAUAUCCACAUAUGUCCCACACCAAAUAUACAACUUGGCCCCACCGAUUCUUUCUAUCCGGCGCCACCGAGUUCAGUUAACAUAGCCACUGCCAGAAACCCUAGUCUUUUCGGUCUCACCGAUAGGGAUCCCGGUCUCACCGAGAUGGGAUUGUAAUCUCUCUGUUUCCCUUCGUAACGUUUUGGUCAAACCGAGAUGAGCGAUCGGUCCCACCGAGAUUGCAAUGUAAACUCUCUGUUUCUCUUUCGUAACACUUCGGUCCAACCGAGAUGAGCGAAUCGGUCCCACCGAGUUUACCUGACCAACUCUCUGUUAGUCCAUUACCAAAAUCGGUCUCACCGAGUUUGUGUAAUCGGUCUCACCGAGAUUACGUUAUGCCCUAACCCUAAUGAAAUCGGUCCCACCAAGUUGACAUGUCGGUCCCACCGAGAAUCCCAGCAUUCACAUUUUGAACUAAAUCGGUCUGACCGGGUUUCAUGAUUCGGUCCCACCGAGUUUGGUGAUUUGUGUGUAAGGGUUAGAUUUUGUGUGGAGGCUAUAAAUACCCCUCCACCCACUCUUCAUUCGAGGAGAGAGCCAUCAGAACAUGCCUACACUUCCAAUACAUAUUUUCUGAGAGAGAACCACCUACACUUGUGUUGAGGUCAAGAUAUUUCAUUCCAACCACAUAAAUCUUGAUCUCUAGCCUUCCCCAAGUUGCUUUCCACUCAAAUCUUCUUUCUACCAAAUCCAAUCCUAUGAGAGAGAGAGUUGAGUGUUGGGGAGACUAUCAUUUGAAGCACAAGAGCAAGGAGUUCAUCAUCAACACACCAUUUGUUACUUCUUGGAGAGUGGUGUCUCCUAGAUUGGCUAGGUGUCACUUGGGAGCCUCCGACAAGAUUGUGGAGUUGAACCAAGGAGUUUGUAAGGGCAAGGAGAUCGCCUACUUUGUGAAGAUCUACCCUAGUGAGGCAAGUCCUUCGUGGGCGACGGCCAUGGUGGGAUAGAGAAGGUUGCUUCUUUGUGGACCCUUCGUGGGUGGAGCCCUCCGUGGACUCGCGCAACCGUUACCCUUCAUGGGUUGAAGUCUCCAUCAACGUGGAUGUACGAUAGCACCACCUAUUGGAACCACGCCAAAAAUCUCCGUGUCAACAUUGCGUUUGCUCCCUCAAACUCAUCCCUUUACCUUCAUAUGCAAUUGUUUUACAUUCUGCUGCUAUACUCUUAGAAUUUCAUGUGUAGGUUGAUUACUUGUUUGUGCCAAGUUGCUAAAAUCUGCCAAAAACUAAAAUUGGGAAAAGGCUAGAUUUUUAUUUGGUCAAGUAGUCUAAUCACCCCCUCUAGACAUACUUUCGAUCCUACACUUGCGCCUGCGACCAGCACAACGCCUUGCACAAGGCGUCGAAACAGAAUGGCAUCGUCGAAACCCGGUAUCUGCAAUCCUCUGCACGCAGACACCACAUUAUUACAUUAAAAGUAAAAGGAAACAACACAUUAUUGCAUUACAUGUGUAAUUGUACCACAUUAUUACAUUAAAAGAAAAAGUAAACAACACAUUAUUGCAUUACAUGUGUAAUUGUAAAUGUCCACGCAUCGGUUAACUAUUAGUUUGGUCUCUCAUAACCUCACACCGCGAGCAAAGAAGAGAAAAACAUGCUAGACCCUAGAUGUGGGGGAGGAAGAAACUCGUAAGGGGCAUGUUUGGUUCUCUACAUGAAUUUGGGCCUCCUGCAUGUGUGGUUCGGUUGAGUCCGGCUGAGUAAAUAUAGACAGUAAACCAUGUUGUGCGGUGCGUUUGGUUGCCCACAAAGCUCCAGGCUGCAUGGGAGCACAACAGACGUACGACGUUUGGUGGCAAGUCUUUGCUCGCCAGGUAAAACUUACUAUUGUUUGGCUACGUGUAAGACAUACAAUGUGGUUACAUCUUUUUUGAGCGGUGAGGUUACAAGCACACACAGUCAUAGGCACACCACUUUCAACAAGCAUACACACAGUCAUACACACCACUUUCAACAAGCGUACGCAUGGCUACAUUAACAAGCAUACACAUAGCGACACAAUCACAGGCAUAAUAGUGACAAGCAAACAUAUGCAUAACCACACAAUUGUAGGCAUAAUAGCUCAGGACUGACAGACUAACAAACAAAUAUUACAACUCUUGGAUCAUGACAAGUUGGGUCAUGAUGGACGCACUUGACCACCACACCCGCGUCAGAAAUGUCGAACACGAUGGACUUGAAACUAUCCACAGUGAGGACCUAUGGCAAAACAAACCCACCCUUGAUCCAUGGCAUGCCUCCCGUUGACAUCUCGGAGCUUGACCCUUUAGAUGCAGCUGGUGUUCGUCCUCAGAACGAUUUCCUGACGGUGCCCAUGUGCCAGCGGAAGGCAUCAUGGAUUAGAAGUAAAUAUAACCCAGGUGCUAAGCACAUUGCAGAAGUGGGAUGGACUUAGGUCCUCAUGAAAGCGGCCGAUAUUUGUCGGCCUCCCUUGACUCCUCUAUGAAUUGUUGCCUUGUACUACAACCUUGCCCUUGGAACGGCUGCCCGAAGAAUCAUUGUCAAUGACCAACUUGUCGGAAGGGCAAUGCAAUGAAGAACAUUAGGCUCAACACGCCAUUGAACUACAAUGUGUAGGAUCAUGACAAUGUGUAUGUCAUGGGUGAUGAUCUUCACUGCUUGUUGUCAUAUAGAAGGAUAAAGGUGGUACAAGGAUCAGAACUACAAUGUGCAGAACCAACCCUCAUACCAACGAUCACCCUAAUACAUGGACUGCACAUCAGUGAAGAUCAUUGCUCAAGACAGUCCAAGUUAAAUUGUUCUUCCCCCAAUUCAGAUUGAUAUACCCCCUAAUAGAACUUAGCUUUCCAAAAAUAUAACCCUACAUUGACACACAAACUGAGCCCUAUCAACCCCUAAAUAGAUGUAACACCCACGAUGCGGCUAUAUCUCCCAUGUGUCGGGGCACGACUUAGAGGCAUAACCGCAUGGUAGGCAUGUCGCAAGAGGGGUAAUAUUUACACAUCCCAUGUACUGAAUAAGAAUGAGAUAAAGAGUUGGCUUACAAUCGCCACUUCACACAAUACAUAAAAAUAGCAUUACAUCAUCCAGAAUACAAUCAAAGUCCGACUACGGAACCAAAUAAAGAAAGACAACCCCAAAUGCUAGAUCCCCGAUCAUCCUGACUGGGCUCCACUACUGAUCAAAAGGAAAUGAAACACCACAACAAAAAGGUCUUCAUCGAGCUCCCACUUGAGCUCGGUUGCAUCACCUGCACUGGUAUCAUCGGCACCUGCAACUAUUUGGAAGUAUCUGUGAGUCACGAGGAGUCAGCAAUCUCACACCCGCGAGAUCAAGACUAUUUAAGCUUAAGGUAGGAAAAGGGGGGGUAGUGAGGUGGAGCUGCAGCAAGCACUAGCAUAUAUGGUGGCUAACUUACGCAAAUGAGAGCGAGAAGAGGAGCAAAGCAUGGUCGAGAAGCUACAAAGAUCAAGAAGUGAUCCUGAAACUACUUACGUUCAAGCAUAACACGAGAGCGUGUUCUCUUCCCGGACACCGCCGAAAAGAGACCAUCACGGUUACACAUGCGGUUGAUGCAUUUUAAUUAAGUUAAGUGUCGAGUUCUCUACAACCGGAUAUUAACAAAUUCCCAUCUGCCCAUAACCGCGGGCACGAUUUUCGAAAGUUCAAAACCCCGCAGGGGUGUCCCAACUUAGCCCAUCACAAGUUUCUCCCAGGACGGCCCGAUCAGACUCGGAAUCCCGAUUACAAGACAUUUCGACAAUGGUAAAACAAGACCAGCAAAGCCGCCCGAAUGUGCCGACAAAUCCCGAUAGGAGCUGCACAUAUCUUGUUCUCAGGGCACACCGGAUGAGCCAGACGUCGGGUUGGCAUAGACCCUCGUUGCCCAGGGGGCACCGGACAUCGCUCAGGUUGGACCAACACUUAGAGAAGCACUGGCCUGGGGGGGGGGUUAAAAUAAAGGUGACCCUCAGGAGCGCGACUCCCAAGGGAAAAGUAGGUGGUGGUGAGGCAAAUGGUAAAACCAAUGUUGGGCCUUGCGGGAGGAGUUUUAUUCAAAGCGAACUGUCAAGGGGUCCCCAUAACACCGAACCGUGUAAGGAACGCACAAUCAAGGAACAUAACACCGGUAUGACGAAAACUAGGGCGGCAAGAGUGGAACAAAACACCAGGCAUAAGGCCGAGCCUUCCACCCUUUACCAAGUAUAUAGAUGCAUUAAUAAAAUAAGAGAUAUUGUGAUAUCCCAACAAUAAACAUGUUCCAACAAGGAACAAACUCCAUCUUCACCUGCAACUAGCAACGCUAUAAGAGGGGCUGAGCAAAAGCGAUAACAUAGCCAAACAACGGUUUGCUAGGAAGGUGGGUUAGAGGCUUGACAUGGCAAUAUGGGAGGCAUGAUAUAGCAAGUGGUAGGUAUCGCAGCAUAGCAAUAGAGCGAGCAACUAGCAAGCAAAGAUAGAAGUGAUUUCGAGGGUAUGGUCAUCUUGCCUGAAAUCCCGCAAGGAAGAAGAACGAGUCCAUGGAGAAGACAAACAGACGAAGUCGAACGAAUCCUCACAAAUGCGAUGUUAUCGGAACUAACCCGAAGAAGCAACACCGGAAAGAAGCAAACAACAAGGUAAACAACCAUCACAUAACCAUGGCAUGAUGCACAACCAAGUAUGAUGCAUGUCCGGUUUAAAGAGGCAUGGCAUGGCAAUUUGCACAAACAAAACUACAAAUUAAGUGGAGCUCAAUAUGCAACGAGUUCCAUAUUGACGGAACACCACAUGACUUAUUUAGUUCUCUCCCGGUUAUGUACCCAACAAUAUUAAAUGUUGGUUAGCAUGGCAAGAGGUGAAGCAUAAUAAAACUACUUAACUAGGCAAGUUUAAAAGAGGCCGUAGCAACAAACAACAAGUCCGGAAACUCCUCAUGUGCAUAUUUUUAGGUUUGGUACUGUUCUGCCCUAAACCAUAUUUUAGAGUUGUUAAGCAUGCAAAGUAAAGCCACCAUGUUAAACUAGGCAUUUUUCUACCCCAUUUACAUAUAAAGUUUAUUUAAAAUGGAGCUACGGUUAUUUAGUUAUGAAACAAACCAUUUUAGCAUGGCAUAAGAGUAAAUCUACACAAACAGCAAUUUAAACAUUUUAAACAUGGGUGAAAGUGACAUAUUAUGAAACUAGACACAAUUUUAAGCAUUUUUCAUAUAUAAAGUUUUUACAUGUGAUGCAUAGUUUGUGAGAUAUUAAAUGUAUGAACAUUAGGGUCUUUUCUGUAAAACAACGUUCUCUGGAAUAUUAGGAAAAUCGUAGAACAGGAAAAAAAUAAGCCACGGGCCGAAACUGGCUGGGCCACCACAGAGCAGAGGGGCUGUAGGAGCUGCUCACUCAUGGGCUAAGGCCCGGUUCGGUGGUGAGGCAGGCAGGCUUGGAGCUAGGCCAAGCAGGAGGCCGCGGCUGGGCUUUGGGAGAGGGGCGUGCUGGGCCGAUGGGUGAUACGUCCAUUUUGCAUCAUGCUUUAAUAUCAAUAUUUAUUGCAUUAUGGGCUGUUAUUACACAUUAUGUCACAAUACUUAUGCCUAUUCUCUCUUAUUUUACAAGGUUUACAUAAAGAGGGAGACUGCCGGCAGCUGGGAUUCUGGGCUGGAAAAGGAGCAAAUAUUAGAGACCUAUUCUGCACAGCUCCAAAAGUCCUGAAACUCCACGGAAGACGUUUUCCAAAUAUAUAAAAAAUACUGAGAGCAAGAACUUCACUAGGGGGGCCACACCCUGCCCACGAGGGUGGGGGGCGCGCCCUACCCCCUGGGCGUGCCCCCCUACCUCGUGGGCCCCUGGUGGCCCUCCGGUGACCAUCUUCUGCUAUAUGAAGUAUUUCGAUGGAAAAAAAAGAAGCCAUCUUCUCGGACGAAACUCCGCCGCCACGAGGCGGAACCUUGGCGGAACCAAUCUAGGGCUCUGGCGGAGCUGUUCUGCCAGGGAAACUUCCCUCCCGGAGGGGGAAAUCAUCGCCAUCGUCAUCACCAACGCUCCUCUCAUCGGGAGAGGGCAAUCUCCAUCAACAUCUUCAUCAGCACCAUCUCCUCUCAAAACCCUAGUUCAUCUCUUGUAUCCAAUUCUUGUCUCCAAGUCCGGGAUUGGUGCUAGUAGGUUGCUAGUAGUGUUAAUUACUCCUUGUAGUUGAUGCUAGUUGGUUUAAUUGGUGGAAGAUCAUAUGUUCAGAUCCUAUAUGCAUAUUAAUACCCCUCUGAUUAUGAACAUGUUUAUGCUUUGUGAGUAGUUACUUUUGUUCCUGAGGACAUGGGAGAAGUCUUGCUAUUAGUAGUCAUGUGAAUUUGGUAUUCGUUCGAUAUUUUGAUAAGAUGUAUGUUGUCUCUCCUCUAGUGGUGUUAUGUGAACAUCGACUACAUGACACUUCACCAUUAUUUGGGCCUAGAGGAAGGAAUUGGGAAGUAAUAAGUAGAUGAUGGGUUGCUAGAGUGACAGAACCUUAAACCCUAGUUUAUGUGUUGCUUCGUGUUGGAUCCAUAUGUUUCAUGCUAUGGUUAGGUUUACCUUAAUAUUUUUGUCGUAGUUGCGGAUUCUUGCAAUAGAGGUUAAUCAUAAGUGGGAUGCUUGUCCAAGUAAGGGCAGCACCCAAGCACCGGUCCACCCACAUGCCAAAUUAUCAAAGUACCGAACGCGAAUCAUAUGAACGUGAUGAAACCUAGCUUGACGAUAUUCCCAUGUGUCCUCGGGAGCGCUUUUCUCUAUAUAAGAGUUUGUCCAGGCUUGUCCUUUGCUACAAAAAGGAUCGGGCCACCUUGCUGCACUUUAUUUACUUUUGUUACUUGUUGCUCGUUACAAAUUAUCCUAUCACAAAACUAUCUGUUACCACUUAUUUCAGUACUUGCAGAGAAUACCUUGCUGGAAACCGCUUAUCAUUUCCUUCUGUUCCUCGUUGGGUUCGACACUCUUACUUAUCGAAAGGACUACGAUAGAUCCCCUAUACUUGUGGGUCAUCAAGACUCUUUUCUGGCGCCGUUGCCAGGGAGUGAAGCGCCUUUGGUAGGUGGAAUUUGGUAAGGAAAAAUUUAUAUAGUGUGCUGAAAUUUACUGUCACUUGUUAUUAUGAAAAGUAAUCCUCUGAGGGGCUUGUUCGGGGUAUCUUCACCCCGACCAGUAGAGCAAAGAGUUGCUCCUCAACCUACUGAAAAUGAAAAUGAAAAUGACGGCUUUGAAAUUCCUUCGGGUAUGAUAGAAAAACUGCUAGCUAAUCCCUUUUUAGGAGAUGUUGUUAAGAAGAAGGUCUUCCCUUUAUCUUUUAAGGGAGACACAUCGACAUGGUAUAGGCUAUGUGAUGAUAUGGGUCUUGGAAUUACAAACGAUUGAAAUUGGAAUUUCAUCAUAAGUUUUAUCCUAUGCAUCUUGUUCAUCGUGAUCGCAAUUACAUAUAUAAUUUUUGGCCUCGCAAAGGAGAAAGCAUCGCUCAAAAUUUGGGGAGGCUUAAAUGAAUGUUAUAUUCAUGCCCCAAUCAUGAGCUCUCGAGAAAAAUGAUUAUUCAAAAUUUCUAUGCUCGGCUUUCUGAUAACAAUCGCACCAUGCUUGAUACUUCUUGUGCUGGAUCUUUUAUGAUGAAGACUAUUGAAUUCAAAUUGGAUUUAUUGGAAAGAAUUAAAUGCAACUCUGAAGAUUGGGACCUCGACAAAGGUAAGGAGUCAGGUAUAAGACCUAGUUUUGAUUGUGUUAAAUCUUUUAUGGAUACCGAUAUUUUUCGUAAAUUUAGCACUAAAUAUGGACUUGACUCUGAGAUAGUAGCUUCUUUCUAUGAAUCUUUUGCUACUUAUGUUGAUCUCCCCAAGGAGAAGUGGUUUAAAUAGCAUCCUCCCAUAGAAGUAAAAGUAGCUGCACCUAUUAAAGUUGAAGAAAAGAUUGUCACUUAUAAUGAUCCUAUUGUUCCUACUUCUUAUGUUGAGAAACCACCUUUCCCUGUUAGGAUAAAGGAUCAUGCUAAAGCUUCAACUGUAAUUCAUAAAAGCAAUAUUAAAAUAUAUACACCUCCUGAGCAAGUUAAAGUUGAACCCAAUAUUGCUAUUGUUAAAGAUCUCUUGUCCGAUAAUAUUGAUGGGCAUGUUAUUUAUUUUUGUGAUGAAACUGCUAGAAUUACUAAACCCUGUGCUAAAGAUAAACCUAGACAUGUGGUAGGCAUGCCUGUUAUUUCUGUUAAAAUAGGAGAUCAUUGUUAUCAUGGCUUAUGUGAUAUGGGUGCCAGUGCUAGCGCAAUACCUCAUUCCUUAUACAAAGAAAUUACGCAUGAGAUUGCACCUCCUGAAAUAGAAGAUAUUCACCAAUGGGAAUUGUUAGAGAUGUUGAAGUCUUGUGUGGGAAAACUAAAUAUCCUGCUGAUUUUCUUGUUCUUGGUUCCCCACAAGAUAGCUUUUGUCCCAUUAUAUUUGGUAGACCCUUCUUGAACACUGUUAAUGCUACCAUAGAUUGCAAAAGGGAUGUUGUUACUAUCGGGUUAGAUGAUAUGACUCAUGAAUUUAAUUUCUCUAAAUUUAGUAGACAACACCGUGAAGAAGAAUUACCUAGUAAGGAUGAAAUUAUUGGUCUUGCUUCUAUUGCCGUAUCUCCUAGUGAUCCUUUAGAACAUUAUUUGCUAGACCAUAAAAAUGAUAUGUUUAUGAAUGAAAGAAGGGAAUUAGAUGAGGUAUUCUUUAAACAGGAACCUAUUCUGAAAAAUAAUUUACCUGUUGAAAUCCUAGGGGAUCCUCCUCCACCCAAGGGUGAUCCCGUGUUUGAGCUUAAACCAUUACCUGAUACUCUUAAAUAUGCUUAUCUUGAUGAGAAAAAGAUAUAUCAUGUUAUUAUUAGUGCUAACCUUUCAGAGCAUGAGGAAGAGAGAUAUUGAAAACUCUGAAGAAGCACCGUGCUGCUAUUGGGUAUACUCUUGAUGAUCUUAAGGGCAUUAGUCCCACUCUAUGUCAACAUAAAAUUAAUUUGGAAGAAGAUGCUAAACCAGUUCGUGAUCAUCAACGACGGCUGAAUCCUAAAAUGAAAGAAGUGGUAAGAAAGGAAAUACUAAAGCUCCUUGAGGCAGGUAUAAUCUAUCCCGUUGCUGAUAGUCAGUGGGUAAGUCCUCUCCAUUGUGUCCUUAAGAAGGGAGGUAUUACUGUGGUUCCUAAUGAUAAAGAUGAAUUGCUUCCUCAAAGAAUUAUUACAGGUUAUAGGAUGGUAAUUGCUUUCUGCAAAUUAAAUAAGGCAACUAAAAGGAUCAUUACCCCUUACCUUUUAUCGAUCAAAUGCUAGAAAGAUUAUCCAAACAUACACAUUUUUGCUUUCUAGAUGGUUAUUCUGGUUUCUCUCAAAUACCUGUGUCAGCCAAAGAUCAAUCAAAGACUAUUUUUACAUGCCCUUUUGGUACUUUUGCUUAUAGACGUAUGCCUUUUGGUUUAUGUAGUGCACCUGCUACCUUUCAAAGAUGCAUGAUGGCUAUAUUCUCUGACUUUUGUGAAAAGAUUUGUGAGGUUUUCAUGGAUGAUUUUUCCGUCUAUGGAUCUUCUUUUGAUGAAUGCUUAAGCAACCUUGAUCGAGUUUUGCAGAGAUGCAAAGAAACUAAUCUUGUCUUGAAUUGGGAAAAGUGCCACUUUAUGGUCAAUGAAGGUAUUGUCUUGGGGCAUAAAGUUUCUGAAAGAGGUAUUGAAGUUGAUAAAGCCAAGGUUGAUGCUAUUGAAAAGAUGCCAUGUCCCAAGGACAUCAAAGGUAUAAGAAGUUUCCCUGGUCAUGCCGGAUUUUAUAGGAGGUUCAUUAAGGACUUCUGAAAAAUUUCUUGGCCUCUGACUAAUUUAUUACAAAAAGAUAUACCAUUUGUUUUUGAUGAUGAUUGUGUAGAAGCAUUUGAAAUACUUAAGAAAGCAUUGAUUUCUGCACCUAUUGUUCAGCCACCUGAUUAGAAUUUACCCUUUGAAAUUAUGUGUGAUGCUAGUGAUUAUGCUGUAGGUGUUGUUCUAGGACAAAGAGUUGAUAAGAAAUUAAAUGUUAUUCAAUAUGCUAGUAAAACCCUAGACAAUGCUCAAAGAAAUUAAGCUACCACUGAAAAAGAAUUCUUAGCAGUUGUAUUUGCUUGUGAUAAGUUCAGACCUUAUAUUGUUGAUUCUAAAGUAACUAUUCACACUGAUCACGCUGCUAUUAAAUAUCUCAUGGAAAAGAAAGAUGCUAAACCUAGACUUAUUAGAUGGAUUCUCUUGCUACAAGAAUUUGAUUUACAUAUUAUAGAUAGAAAAGGAGCUGAGAACCCCGUUGCAGACAACUUGUCUAGGUUAGAAAAUGUGCUUGAUGACCCACUUCCUAUUGAUGAUAGCUUUCCGGAUGAGCAAUUAAAUGCCAUAAAUGCUUCUCAUACUGCUCCAUGGUAUGCUGAUUAUGCUAAUUACAUUGUUGCUAAGUUUAUACCACCUAGUUUCACAUACCAGCAAAAGAAAAAGUUCUUCUAUGAUUUGAGGCAUUACUUUUGGGAUGACCCACAUCUUUAUAAAGAAGGAGUAGAUGGUGUUACUAGACGUUGUGUACCUGAGAAUGAACAGGAAUAGAUCCUACGCAAGUGUCACUCCGAAUCUUAUGGAGGACACCAUGCUGGAGAUAGAACUGCACAUAAGGUAUUGCAAUCUAGUUUUUAUUGGCCUACUCUCUUCAAGGAUGCCCGUAAGUUUGUCUUAUCUUGUGAUGAAUGUCAAAGAAUUCGUAAUAUUAGUAGACGUCAAGAAAUGCCUAUGAACUAUUCACUCGUUAUUGAACCAUUUGAUGUUUGGGGCUUUGACUAUAUGGGACCCUUUCCUUCCUCUAAUGGAUAUACACAUAUUUUAGUUGCAGUUGAUUACGUUACUAAGUGGGUAGAAGCUAUUCCAACUAGUAGUGCUGAUCAUAACACUUCUAUUAAAAUGCUUAAAGAAGUUAUUUUUCCAAGAUUUGGAGUCCCUAUAUAUUUAAUGACUGAUGGUGGUUCACAUUUUAUUCAUGGUGCUUCCCGUAAAAUGCUUGCUAAAUAUGAUGUUAAUCAUAGAAUUGCAUCUCCUUAUCACCCACAGUCUAGUGGUCAAGUAGAAUUGAGUAAUAGAGAGCUCAAAUUAAUUUUGCAAAAGACUGUUAAUAGAUCUAGAAAGAAUUGGUCAAAGAAACUUGAUGAUGCAUUAUGGGCCUAUAGAACUGCAUAUAAAAAUCCUAUGGGUAUGCCUCCGUAUAAAAUGGUUUAUGGAAAAGCAUGUCACUUACCUCUCGAACUAGAACACAAGGCAUAUUGGGCUAUUAAAGAGCUCAAUUAUGAUUUCAAACUUGCCGGUGAGAAGAGGCUAUUUGAUAUUAGCUCACUUGAUGAAUGGAGAACCCAAGCCUACGAAAAUGCCAAGUUGUUUAAAGAAAAAGUUAAAAGAUGGCAUGACAAAAGAGUACAAAAGCGUGAGUUUAAUGUAGGUGAUUAUGUAUUGCUAUACAACUCUCGUUUAAGAUUUUUUGCAGGAAAACUUCUCUCUAAAUGGGAAGGUCCUUACGUUAUCGAGGAGGUCUAUCGUUCCGGUGCCAUAAAAAUCAACAACUUCGAAGGCACAAAUCCGAAGGUGGUGAACGGUUAAAGAAUCAAACAUUAUAUCUCAGGUAAUCCCAUAAAUAUUGAAACCAAUAUUGUUGAAACCGUAACCCCGGAGGAAUACAUAAGGGACACUUUCCGGAACGUUUCAGACUCCGAAAAGGAAUAGGUAUGUGGUACGGUAAGUAAACCGACUCCAAAACAGUUUUUAAGGCAAUAUUUCUCCGUUUUGGAAUAUUUAGAAAAAAUAGAAAAAUAAGUAGCGUCCCGGGAAGGACACGAGGGCUCCACGAGGGUGGAGGGCGCGCCCUACCCUACUGGGCGCGCCCCCCUACCUCGUGGGCACCUCGUGCGCUUUCCGCUCCGUUUUCGUACACGACACGUAUUUUGGUCGGUAAAAAUUCAUUAUAUAAUCUCCCAGGGGUUUUGACUCCCGUAUCACACAAAAAUCUUCUGUCUUUGUUUCGAGCUGUUUUUCUGACAGAUCUAGAUUAUCAUGACGUCUCCAAGUGCUCCCAAGGACAAGUUCUUCGAGAAGGUCAUCAACCCUUACCUCACGGAGGUGUACCGACACCCUCAAACCAUUGAGAUGCGUGAUGGGUUGCUGCACAUCCAUGAUGCUGAGGGACCGAAGGGGACCGGAAGCAUGGAGACGAGGCUCGAAGCAAUGGAGCAACAAGUUUUCAAGUGUCAGGGGAUGGUGGAGCGUGGACUAAACUCCAACCACAUGAUGAUCGCAGAGUUCACCAACAAACACAAGCUGGAUGCCGACAACAUCGGGGAGACCAUCUUCAAGCUUCACGAGAAAAUCGAGCACCUUCAAGCUCAAAUCUAUGACCUGCAAAGCCAAAACUGUGAGUAUGAAUAUAGAUUCAAAAGGAUGAGUUUGGCUGCAGAUUUGAGGAUCCCGGAGACUCGGUCAUCCUUCUAUGAUGGUGAGCCUAUGCCUUGGAAGAAGGACGACAAGCCUACGCCAUCAACAAAGUCACCACCGUCUCCACCAACAAAGAAGAAUUGAGUAUCUGGUAUGGGCACUCCACUUGGCAACUGCCAAGCUUGGGGGAGUGCCCCGGUAUCGUAUCACCAUCACUUUUAUCUUUACCUUUUUUCUUAGUUCGAUCCUUUUGGUAAUAUCUUGAUCUAGUAGAAUAAAAGUUCCUAGUAUGAUCUAGUUGUGAGUUUUGCUUUAUUAUCCUUCUAUGUAAUCAAGUCCGUGAGCUAUAUAUAAUAAAGAUUAGUGUUGAGUCAAGGGCUUGAUUAUUUGCCAUGAUCCUAAGUGAAUAAAAGAAAAGAGAAAGAAAUAAAAAGAAACAAAGAGAUCAUGUGAGCCUUAUGGAGAGUAAUGAGCUCACAUAGAAAAAGUAUGAUGGAUAAAAGUUGUUGAGAGUUGACAAACAUAGUUUUGGUCAUCGUUGCAAUUAAUAGGAAGUAAUAAAGAAAGAGAGGUCUUCACAUAUAGAUAUACUAUCUUGGACAUCUUUUAUGAUUGUGAGCACUCAUUAAAAUAUGACAUGCUAAAGAGUUGACGUUGGACAAGGAAGACAAGUAAUGGGUUAUGUUUUCUUACAUCUCAGAUAAAUUAUAUUGUCUUGGAUCCUCCAACAUGUUGAGCUUGCCUUUCCUCCUCAUGCUAGCCAAAUUCAUCGCACCAAGUAGAGAUACUACUUGUGCUUCCAAACACCCUUAAACCAGUCUUGCCAUGAGAGUCCACCACACCUACCUAUGGAUUGAGUAAGAUCCUUCAAGCAAGUUGUCAUCGGUGCAAGCAAUAAAAAUUGCUCUCUAAAUAUGUAUGACUUAUUAGUGUGGGAGAAAAUAAGCUUUAUACGAUCGUGUGAUAUGGAAUAAAUAAAAGCGACAGACUGCAUAAUAAAGGUCCAUAUCACAAGUGGCAAUAUAAAGUGACGUUCUUUCGCAUUAAGAUUUUGUGCAUGCAAUCAUAAAAGCGCAUGACAACCUCUGUUUCCUUCUGCGAAGGGCCUAUCUUUUACUUUUAUCUCCUACCUUGCAUAAGAGUCAUGGUGAUCUUCACCCUUCCUUUUUACAUUUUAUCCUAUGGCAAGCACAGUAUGUUGGAAAGAUCCUAGUAUAUAUGGCUAAUUGGAUGUGAGUUUUCAUGAACUAUUACUGUUGACAUUACCCUUGAGGUAAAACGUUGGGAGGCAAAACUAUAAGCCCCUAUCUUUCUCCGUGUCCGAUUAAAACUCCAUACCCAUAAGUAUUGUGUGAGUGUCAGCAAUUUUGAAAGACUAUAUGAUAGUUGAGUAUGUGGACUUGCUGAAAAGCUCUUAUAUGUUGACUCUUUCCUAUGUUAUGAUAAAUUGCAAUUGCUGCAAUGACUGAGAUUAUAGUUUGUUAGUUUUCAAUGAAGUUUACGAUUCAUACUUGAAAUUGUGAUUGAAUUAUUACUCUAGCAUAAGAAAUCAUAUGACAAGAAUUAUAUAAGUUGAUGUUCUAAGAAUGAUCAUGAUGCCCUCAUGUCCGUAUUUUAUUUUUAUCGACACCUGUAUCUCUAAACAUGUGGACAUAUUUUUCGAUUUCGGCUUUUCGCUUGAGGACAAGCGAGGUCUAAGCUUGGGGGAGUUGAUACGUCCAUUUUGCAUCAUGGUUUUAUAUCGAUAUUUAUUGCAUUAUGGGCUGUUAUUACACAUUAUGUCACAAUACUUAUGCCUAUUCUCUCUUAUUUUACAAGGUUUACAUAAAGAGGGAGAAUGCUGGCAGCUGGGAUUCUGGGCUAGAAAAGGAGCAAAUAUUAGAGACCUAUUCUGCAUAGCUCCAAAAGUCCUGAAACUCCACGGAAGACGUUUUCCAAAUAUAUAAAAAAUACUGAGAGCAAGAACUUCACUAGGGGGGCCACACCCUGCCCACGAGGGUGGGGGGGGGGCGCACCCUACCCCCUGGGCGCGCCCCCCUACCUCGUGGGCCCCCUGGUGGCCCUCUAGUGACCAUCUUCUACUAUAUGAAGUCUUUCGAUGGGAAAAAAAUAAGAAGCCAUCUUCUCGGACGAAACUCCGCCGCCACAAGGCGGAACCUUGGCAGAACCAAUCUAGGGCUCUGGCGGAGCUGUUCUGCCGGGGAAACUUCCCUCCCGGAGGGGGAAAUCAUCGCCAUCGUCAUCGCCAACGCUCCCCUCAUCGGGAGAGGGCAAUCUCCAUCAACAUCUUCAUCAGCACCAUCUCCUCUCAAAACCCUAGUUCAUCUCUUGUAUCCAAUUCUUGUCUCCAAGUCCGGGAUUGGUGCUAGUAGGUUGCUAGUAGUGUUAAUUACUCCUUGUAGUUGAUGCUAGUUGGUUUAAUUGGUGGAAGAUCAUAUGUUCAGAUCCUAUAUGCAUAUUAAUACCCCUUUGAACAUGUUUAUGCUUUGUGAGUAGUUACUUUUGUUCCCGAGGACAUGGGAGAAGUCUUGCUAUUAGUAGUCAUGUGAAUUUGGUAUUCGUUCGAUAUUUUCAUGAGAUGUAUGUUGUCUCUCCUCUAGUGGUGUUAUGUGAACGUCGACUACAUGACACUUCACCAUUAUUUGGGCCUAGAGGAAGGCAUUGGGAAGUAAUAAGUAGAUGAUGGGUUGCUAGAGUGACAGCAGCUUAAACCCUAGUUUAUGCGUUGCUUCGUAAGGGGCUGAUUUGGAUCCAUAUGUUUCAUGCUAUGGUUAGGUUUACCUUAAUACUUUUGUUGUAGUUGCGGAUGCUUGCAAUAGAGGUUAAUCAUAAGUGGGAUGCUUGUCCAAGUAAGGGCAGCACCCAAGCACCGGUCCACCCACAUACCAAAUUAUCAAAGUACCGAACGCGAAUCAUAUGAACGUGAUGAAACCUAGCUUGACGAUAUUCACAUGUGUCCUAGGGAGCGCUUUUCUCAAUAUAAGAGUUUGUCCAGGCUUGUCCUUUGCUACAAAAAGGAUUGGGCCACCUUGCUGCACUUUAUUUACUUUUGUUACUUGUUGCUCAUUACAAAUUAUCCUAUCACAAAACUAUCUGUUACCACUUAUUUCAGUACUUGAAGAGAAUACCUUGCUGGAAACCGCUUAUCAUUUCCUUCUGCUCCUCGUUGGGUUUGACACUCUUACUUAUCAAAAGUACUGCGAUAGAUCCCCUAUACUUGUGGGUCAUCAAGACUCUUUUCUGGCGCCGUUGCCAGGGAGUGAAGCGCCUUUGGUAGGUGGAAUUUGGUAAGGAAAAAUUUAUAUAGUGUGCUGAAAUUUACUGUCACUUGUUAUUAUGGAAAGUAAUCCUCUGAGGGGCUUGUUCAGGGUAUCUUCACCCCGACCAGUAGAGCAAAGAGUUGCUCCUCAACCUACUCAACCUACUGAAGAUGAAAAUGACUGCUUUGAAAUUCGGUGGUUUUCUAGGGUUAGGGCGGUUUUCUGGAGCGUUUCGAAGCGUCCGAUCGGGAUCCGGUGGUUCCGAUCGGAGGGGGGUUAGAGAGCUAGUUGUGGGCUGUGUAGAGGGCCAUGAACUAAGAGGAGAGAAGAGAAGUGCAGCCCGGCAAGGUUUUCGGAGACCGAAAACGUCCGACGUUAGACCGGCUAUACUGCCGCUAUAGUUAUCCGUUGGGGCAUCAAACGAACUCCGAAUGCGAUAAAACUUGGCAGGCGACCUACUAACAACAUAACAACACCGCAUGCCAACUUUCAACCCAUUCCGAGAACAUUUUCCGACCACUUAUAAAAUACUAUUUCGGACGUGCCGCGGACGCGUGCAAGUGUGGAUGGGUUCAGAACGGAUGACGGAAAGAACUGGGAGACCCGGAUGAAUGCAAUUUUUGAAAACAUGAUGAUGCAAUGCACAUGAUGACAUGGCAAGAUGCAACACGCAAGCGAAUGACACGGCAACAGCAGCGAAUAACUGGAAGAUGCCUGGCGCAACGGUCUCGGGGCGUCACAAUAGAGGCCUGUAAAACCCUAAACCGGAUGCUAAAUCGAACCCUAAUCCGGCUGGGAAGGGCUUAUCGCCAUGUGAUGUCUACUACACAACCUUCUUCUUGUAGACGUUGUUGGGCCUCCAAGUGCAGAGGUGUGACGCCCCGAGACCGAUGUGCCAGGUGUCUUCCUGUUAUUCGCCGACAUUGCCAUGUCAUUUGCUUGUGUGUUGCAUUUUAUCAUGUCAUCAUCCGCAUUGCAUCAUCAUGUUUUCAAAACUUGCAUCCGUCUGUUGUCCGUUCUGAGCCCAGACACACUUGCACGCGCCCGCGGCAUGUCCGAAAUAUUAUUUUAUAAGUGGCCGGAAAAUGUUCUCGGGUUGGGUUGAAAGUUGGCCUGUGGUCUUAUUAUAGUGUAGAUAGACCACUUGUCAAGUUUCAUCGCAUUCGGAGUUCGUUUGAUAGCCCAACUGUUAAACUAGAGCGGCAUUAUAGCCGGGCACAUGUCGGACGUUUUCGGUCUCCGGAAACAGUCGCCGGGCCUCUCCUCUUCUCUCUUCUCAGCCCUUUGCCUUAUGCACUACCUCUCACCGCCAGGCCCUACCUAACCUCUCUUGUCAGCCUGCGACCCUCCUCACACGCGUGUUCGAAAAGCUGUCCCGGACCCGACCCGGACUGUCGCCACCUAUCGGUGUACUAGAGUAGGGGUACCCUAGUAUCCCGAACUUGUGCACGGGCAGUCGCAGCAUCCCGCGGCAAGGCUUGCCGGGUGACCGCCAAGGUCCUCCGUGGUUCCUUUGGAGCCAUUCAAGAACAAAGUAUCCAAACCAAGACACCACAAGACCCCGACAAGAGGAGCUUGCCGGGAAGGCCAACCAAGGCAAGGCGCUUAAGGAGACAAGACCCCGGCAAGAGGAGCUUGCCGGGAAGGCCACCCAAGGCAUCUCAAGGAACUUGCCGCGGCGCGCCUCGCGUCCCGGCAAGGCCCGGUGAGCGACAAGACAACGACCGCGGCAAGGCGCUUGCCGCGGCAAGCCACCACUCUGUGCCCGCGCUCCAGCACAUCCACCAACGUGUCGCUCUGGGACCCUUCCAGGCGUGCGUGGCGGGAGGCUGUGCAGCCAGCGGUGCGCAGUGGCGAGCGGCGCUGACAAGAUUGCCAUCGUGGCGAGCGGUGGCGUCCCUGACGGUCCCUUUUACACUGUUUAGGCGACACAGACGGGCAUUUAAUGCCCUUGUCCCCUGCCGUCAGGGUUAGGUAUGAUACACUAUAGCAGGUAGCUGUACCUACCGUAGCUCCUUUCCAUUUUUACCCUUUGUCUCCGUUGCCACCUGUCGGUGACCCCUUGAGCAUAUAAAAGGAGGCCCAUGUGCAACGUAGAGGGGGGUUCGGAAAAAAGAGAACACUCAGGCUCGGUCUCGUUAGCCGCUGGUGUGUACUGUAGCACUCCGCGCUCCCGAGCAAGAACCCAAUACAAACCACAAAGCAGGAGUAGGGUUUUACGCAUCCGUGCGGCCCGAACUUGGGUAAACUGCUCGUGUGCUUUGCCUCGAUCCGCUCUUCGUGCGACCUCCGCCCCCGCCGAACCGAAAGGGACUCGGUCCGCCGGUCCCAUAGGUGUUCGUGGAUUAGUCCCCCGACAUCUUUGGCGCGCCAGGUAGGGGGCGUCGAGGUUGUAUGAACUAGAUCCGGUGUUCACGCGAGCUAGAUCUUCGUCACCUUCAUCAACAUGCCGCCGAAGAAGAAGGCUUCAGAGGCGGCUGCUCCGUCCGCGCCUUACCCACCACCGCCGGAGCAAACGGCUGAUGGGGCAGACGCCGGUGGAAGAACGGGCGUCGACGAGGGAGCUCACGGUGCUGCCAGGUCCAAGGACAAGGCUGCGCUACCCAUCGGUGGCGUAGCCGGCUCCCACAACGAUCGGGCGCACUCCAAGACCUCGGCGUCUGUACAUGCACCGCGCCCAUCUCAGGAGGCGCGAGACCGGCAGCGUUAUGGUACUCACAGUACCAUGUGUUUGCUGGACCAAGAUCGAGCUGGUGGAUCUCGGAGUGCUCAAGACCAGCAUGCACGCCAACGUGCUGGCACGAGCGAGGUACGGUCGCCUGGACGGGACACUGCUCCUUCUAACAUAGUUAGAAGUCCGAGCAUAUCCCGCUCCUCGCACCGUUCACCACCGCCACCCGCCACUGCAGCAGAAGCUUUGACGCGAGCUCAACUGCUCCUGUACUACCCUCCAACGGCAGACAAGAUCGACGACUGGAGGGCCACCAUUCAGAGUCUCAUCGGCUUCGCCAACGGCGACACUCAACAGCAGCCGAGCACGUCGCAGCCACGGCAAGCCAUCCAAGCACGAACCGGUGGAGACAAGACCGGUGGGGGUGCAACCACUAUGCACUCUCCGCCCCGAAGGCCAAGAUCGCUGACUCGCCGGAUCCACCUCGACAGCGACUCCACCGCGUCAUCAGAUCCACGAGCUCGUCGCGAUCAGCGCCAAGUUCUUCAUGAACGACAGCAAGAAGACGCUCGUACACGCAUCGAGCGCCGAAGAGAAGCGCGACGUCAAUCGGACCAGCGCGCUGGGCCCUCUGUUGACAUGCAUGCGCCAGGGGAACCAGGCGGCUUGCCGUACGCGGUAGGUUGCCCUGCAUUUACUCGUGAGCUGCGGCAAGUCCAGUGGCCCAGCAUGAAGAAUUUCAAGCUAGAUGUACCAGAGAAGUACGACGACAAGUCGCAUCCGUUGGAGUUCCUCAGCAUCUACACCAUCGUGGUGCAUGCUGCCGGGGGAUGGGACGACAAGAUCGUUGCCAACUACUUCCCGCUGGUGCUCAAGCCCAACGUCAGGUCCUGGCUCAUGCACUUGCCGGACAACUCCAUAUCCUCCUGGGCAGACCUAUGCCAUCAGUUUGUCGGCACCUUUACAGGCGGCCACAAACCUCAUGGCCAAGAGAGUGACCUUCAUCUGCUCGCCCAGAAGGAAGGAGAGCCCCUGCGCAAGUACAUUCAGAGGUUCAGCCGUGUACAGCACAACAUCCCAGAUGUCCACCCCGCCGCGGUCAUCAGCGCGUUCCAUCAGAACGUGCGUAACCGCAGGAUGCGGGAGGAGAUGGCGAUGUGCAAGAUCAGAGACGUCAGCGAGCUGUAUGCCCUGGCCGACAAGUGUGCACGUGCUGAGGAAGGGAAUAAACUCCCUGGAGAGAAUGCAGGAGCAGGAGGAUCUGACAGCGAGGAUGAUGCCCCGGCAAAGAAAAACCGGCGGCGGAACAGGAAGAAGAAAGGCAAAGAUGUGCUAGUCGUUGAGCAGUCCGGCAAUGAAGGUGGCGCCAAGAAAGCCAAAGUUGGUAGCUCCGGCAAGGAGAUUGCCGCAUGCACCAACUGCCAGGCAGUGGCGGUCGCCGACAAGCAGGACGGCACCGACAAGCAGUACUGCAAGAUCCACUGCACCAAGGGCCAUGACCUCCAGAGCUGCAAGAAGGUCGAACAGCUUGUCCAGCAGCAAAAAGCCGAAUACGAGCGAUGCGACAAGGAGAGGGCCCAAGGUGGCGAUGGAGAAUCCGGCAAGAAGCGCGCCGGCCGGGGAGGACGCCGCGGCAAGGCCAAGCAGCGGCAAGGAGAUAGACCUUCCCGCGGCCGCGAUAAGGAUGAAGAUGACGAUGACGACGAAGACAUGGAGGAUGUCGAGACCAGUGAGCAGGAGUUCCAGAAAGCCACACAGGUCUUGUGCGUUGACGGCGGUGCAUGUCUGCAUACUUCGCACCGCCAACUCAAGCAGUGGGUGCGGGAAGUUAAUGCGGCGGAGCCACCCGUCGAGUCACGCAAGCUUCUGAAAUGGUCCAGCACGCCUAUCAUCUUUGAUAUUGAGGACCACCCUGAUCGCACAACUGCGGUCGGGUGCUUGCCGAUGUUGGUUUCACCAACUAUCCGCAACCUCAAGGUCACUAAGAUGUUAGUUGACGGCGGGGCCGACUUGAACUUGAUCUCCUCCGUGGUACUCCAGAAACUCCAAAUCCCUGACAGCGAGCUUGAAGAGACCGACACAUUCCAAGGAAUCAACCCGGGAAGGAGCAAGCCGAAGGGGAAGGUCACGUUGCCUGUAACAUUUGGCAGCGAGCUGAACUUCAGGACUGAGAGGGUCACUUUUGACGUUGCCGAUAUUCCAUUGCCUUACAAUGGGAUACUUGGCCGUCCAGCACUCGCCAAGUUCAUGGCAGCCUCUCACUACGCAUACAACAUGCUGAAGAUGCCAGGCCCGAUAAGCGUCAUCUCUGUCCCCGGUGACAAGAAGGAUGCUCUUAUCUGCGCCGACGAGAUCUACCGGGAAGCGGCAGCCGCAACAGAUCACAAGUCACUUGCCGUUGAAGCCCCCGGGGGGAAGAAGAAGACCAAGUCCGGCAAGAGUUCUGAUGCCCACCCCGGCAAGCGCACCUCUUCGGAGUGCUGCGCUGCCGUCGAGGACGCACCAUCGAGCUCCACCGGCAAGUGUAAGAAGACAAUGGCAGCUCCGCCAGAGACGAAGAAGGUGUCCGCCAAGGAGGAUGGCACUGGUGGCACCUUCACCAUCAGUGCCACUCUCGGCCCUAAAUAGGAAAGCGCGCUCAUUGCUUUCCUGCGGGCGAAUGUCGACGUGUUUGCAUGGCAACCGUCUGACAUCCCCGGUGUUCCCAGGAAAGUAAUUGAGCACCACCUUGCCGUUUGUCCUCAUGCGCGGCCCGUCAAGCAGAAGGUCAGGAAGCAAGCAGUGGAGCGCCAAGAAUUCAUUGCAGAAGAGAUCAAGAAGUGGAAGCAGCAGGCCUUGUUAGAGGAGUGCUCCAUCCUACAUGGUUGGCCAAUCCUGUAGUCGCGCGCAAGGCGAACGGGAAAUGGAGACUUUGUAUCGAUUUUACCGAUGUUAACAAAGCUUGUCCCAAAGACCCAUUUCCUUUGCCGCGCAUUGACCAGAUUGUUGACUCCACGGCCGGAUGUGAUUUGCUUUCAUUUCUUGACGCAUACUCAGGAUACCAUCAGAUCUUCAUGGCAGAAAAGGAUGAGGAGAAGACCGCAUUCAUUACUCCAUGUGGCACGUACUGUUUCAUACGGAUGCCUUUCGGAUUAAAAAAUGCUGGCUCAACAUUUGCAAGAGUAGUCCAUGUCGCUCUUGAGCCACAAAUACACAGAAAUGUGGAAGUCUACAUGGAUGACAUAGUGGUCAAGAGCAAGGACAAGGCAACUCUGAUCCAAGAUUUAGACGAGACCUUUGCAAAUCUGCGCAAGAUCAGCCUCAAGCUCAAUCCCGAGAAGUGUGUGUUUGGAGUCCCCUCCGGCAAGCUUCUCGGGUUCUUCGUGUCUCAGCGGGGAAUCGAAGCCAAUCCCGACAAGAUCAAGGCCAUUGAGCAGACUGAAGCACCAAAACGCGUCAAGGAUGUACAAAGACUUGCUGGUUGCAUGGCUACUCUCAGCAGGUUUAUCUCUAGGUCUGCUGAGCGGGCCCUGCCGUUUUCAAAUUAUUGAAAAAGGCAGGUCCAAUGAAAUGGACUCCGGAAGCGGAGGCUGCGCUGCAAGACUUGAAGAGAUACCUGUCCUCCGCUCCAACACUUGUCGCACCUAAGCCACAAGAGAAGUUGCUGCUGUAUAUAGCGGCAACCAAUCAAGUGGUUAGUGUUGCGUUAGUGGCAGAGAGGGAGGCAGAUGACGAGCCAGCAACCACGGCAGACGCAUCCAGCGGCAAGCAGAGGGCUUCCCCGGCAAGCUCUGGUCCCGACAAAGAUGGAUCCGCAGAUGCGCGAGGAGAUACAGAAGAAAAUGGUGCAGCGCCCAGUUUACUUUGUUAGUUCCCUUCUGCAGGGGGCUAGGUCAAGGUACUCUGGCAUACAGAAAUUGCUUUUCGGCCUUCUCAUGGCCUCGAGAAAGCUGUGCCAUUACUUCCAAGCACAUGAGAUCACAGUUGUCACUCGCUUUCCGCUGAAGAGGAUACUACAGAAUCCAGAAGCGACAGGCAGGAUUGUUGAGUGGGCACUGGAACUGUCAAGCUUUGGCCUCAAGUUUGAGAGUACUUCAACUAUCCAAAGCAGAGCAUUGGCAGAAUUCAUAGCAGAAUGGACGCCAACACCAGAUGAAGAAAUUCCAGAAACGAGCAUCCCCAUCAACGAAGCAAGCAAAGAGUGGCUGAUGUACUUUGAUGGUGCUUUUUCGCUGCAAGGCGCCGGCGCUGGCGUGCUGCUUAUCGCACCCACCGGAGAGCACCUCAAGUACAUAGUCCAGAUGCACUUUCCCAAGGAGCAAGCAACAAACAAUACUGCAGAGUAUGAAGGCUUGCUUGCCGGUCUCAGGAUCGUGGCAGACCUUAGGAUCAAGAAGCUCAUUGUCCGGGGUGACUCACAGCUUGUCGUCCGCCAAGUGAACAAGAGUUAUCAGAGUCCGUUGAUGGAAGCUUACGUCGACGAAGUGAGAAAGCUAGAAGAGCACUUUGACGGCCUACAGAUGGAGCAUGUUCCAAGAGCUCAGAACAGCAUUGUCGAUGGCCUGUCAAAGUGCGCUGCACUUAAGUUACCUGUGGAACCAGGGAUCUUUGUGCUCAAGCUGACUCAACCAUCUGUAACGCCAUCAACUGGACAGAGCAAGAAGAGGAAGUUGAUUUCUGGUGACUAUUUGCCGGCAGAGCUUCCCGAAGCCGCCGCCAAGAAGGUCCCCAAGAUCAACGCCAAGAGUGCUGAGGAGCAAUCUGCUCCGGCAAGCCCUAGGGUUUGUUCCGUUGAAGCAGAAGCUCCCGACAAGUUUUGCUCCAGCAAGCUUGCCGGGGAACGUCAAGCUCCGGCAGAGCCGCAGAUUCUCGCCGUAGAAGCGGAUGUUCCCGCAGCCGCAGAUUUGCCUUUAGUCCUUGUUGUCGAGCCACAAGCUCCAGCAUGGGCACAGCAGGUUGUCCGUUUCCUUCAGACAUGAGAACUUCCCGAAGAGCAAGAAGAAGCGGAAAGAGUAGCCCGGCAGUCAAGUAUGUACCAGUUUGUCGACAAGACACUGUACAGAAGAAGACUCAACAGUGUGAAAUUGAAGUGUAUUCACCGGGAAGACGGACAAAAGCUGUUGGCAGAGAUACAUGGAGGCAUAUGUGGUCACCACAUUGGCGCAAGAGCACUUGUCGGCAAAGCAUUCCAGCAAGGUUUCUUUUGGCCGACAACCUUCCAGGAUGCAACUGCACAAGUAACCAAGUGUGAAGCGUGCCAGUUCCAUUCCAAGCAGAUACACCAACCAGCUCAAGCUCUCCAGACGAUCCCUUUAUUCUGGCCAUUUUCGGUCUGGGGGCUCGACAUCCUCGACCCCUUUCCCCGAGCAGUCGAGGGCUUUGAGUACUUGUACGUCGCAAUCGACAAGUUCACAAAGUGGCCGGAAGUGGAACCAGUGAGGAAGGUGACAGCACAGUCAGCAGUCAAGUUCUUCAGGUCGAUUGUUUGCCGCUUCGGGAUCCCUAACAGGAUAAUCACCGACAACGGUACGCAAUUCACGAGCCGCACCUUCAUGCAGUACGUCCAAGAUCUUGGCGCCAAGGUCUGCUUCGCUUCUGUUGCUCACCCGAGAAGCAACGGUCAAGCGGAGAGGGAAAAUGCUGAAGUGCUGCGCGGGCUCAAGACCAGGACUUUCGACAGGCUACACAAGUGCGGAAGAAACUGGAUCGAGGAGCUGCCGGUGGUUCUUUGGUCGAUCAGAACGACGCCAAAUCGAGCCACUGGCCAAACACCUUUCGCUCUAGUCUAUGGAGCAGAGGCAGUUCUCCCCACGGAACUCGUAUACGGGUCACCUCAAGUGCUCGCUUAUGAUGAGCUCGAGCAAGAGCAGCUGCGACAAGAUGACGCGCUGCUCCUUGAGGAAGACCGUCUUCAGGCUGCUGUGCGAGCUGCUCGCUACCAGCAAGCUUUGCGCCGCUACCAUAGCCGCAAAGUUAACGCCAGAAGUUUCGAGGAAGGCGACCUUGUUCUUCGGCGUGUUCAAUCCGCCAAGAAUUCCAACAAGUUGACGCCGAAGUGGGAAGGCCCUUACCGGGUGAAACGAGUCACUAGGCCUGGCGCUGUCUGCUUUGAGACCGAAGAUGGCAUUCCGGUGAGCAACUCCUGGAACAUUAAGCAUCUUCGUAAGUUUUACCCGUAAGGCGCAGUUGCCGGAACCUGUUCCGGCAACCACCUUUUGUACAAGUCUUGCCGCUGUUGCAUGUAAUCCUUUGUACAAAGCCGGGCGCAGACCCCGUGCAUAAGUAAAGCUCAUGUGCUCCGCACAUUUUGUCAAUUUCAUGCUCUCUAUUUUUUGGCAUAUAUGAUCUGACACUUUGUGCAGCACCUACUCCACGGUAAGCAAUAACGAGCCGUAAGGCUCCGUAUCUUUAUUUUCUCUUCUUUCUUUUUUCUCAAGGAAAGGAAGGUUCCCUCGCCCACAAGUUUGCCGGGGAGGAAAGGAGAAGAUAAUGGUAUGGACCAGACGUCGUUCAAGAAAAUUUCGCCUUACCGGGAAGCAAACAACAAAAAAGCUAAGUUGCCAAAGUUUGAGCAAUCAGAUUUUUUAAAUUUUAAGUUAUCUUCCUUGAACGACCGCACUUUGUAUGGAAAACCUGUGCGCGGAGGAACCAACUCGUAGCUAGUUGCGCCCUUACUUUGUUUCGAGUCCGCUCAACAACUUAAGUGAGCUGCAACUAGUUGCGACAAGGUUUCUUGUCGGUAGCGGCAUCGCCAGCAGGCUGCUGACGUCCCGCACUCAGCGCUCGCGGCUCAGGUACCUGCACCGGCAAGUUCCCUAAAAGCGUAGGGCAAAAACAUACAAAGGGAGGAAUCAAGUAAAGGGAAUAAUAUUGCAAUCAUUACCCAGAAUAGAAUUAUAUUACAAAGAUAGCUUGUCGCGGCUCUAACAGAUUGUUUUCAUAGCAUGACAAACAGCGACAAGAAAAGAAGAAAUGGGCGGCCUAAUCUACGCGAUCGCCCUCGAUCCUCUUGAUCCCGCUCACCUUGUCCACAAUGGGUGCGACAAGGGCCUUGAGCGCCUCCAGAUCGGCAUCCAACGGCAGGGUCUUGAGGAUGUUGGUGAGGUUGAGGCCCGGAUUGCGGAAGGCCACCUUCACCAACACUUUCUGAAGAGCUCCCGCACAGAUCUUGCGCGACUCGUCGGCCAGCUGCUUUGGGAUCCUCUCCCGGAGUCGCUGGAGGGCCGUCGCCACGCCCUUGAAGAACAAGACGAGCUUGGCGCUGGGUUGGAGGUUCUCGUCGGAGGGAUACCCGACAUCCUCCAUCCCCAGCUGCGCCAACUCCCUGUCAAUAUCUGCGGCAGUGCUCACGAGGCUCUCCGUCCAGUGCUCCACAUUUUCCCUGAAAGCAUUCUGGGUGGCGGCAACACUCUCCAACAGCGCCUUGUCGGCCUUGAUCUCUUUUUUCAAGGCCGUCUCCUGCUCCUUGGCGCCGUCCAGCGUCUUGGUCAAAGUGGUCAGCUUCAACUCAAGAUCCGCGUUGGAGUCUUUGGCGGCGCUGAGCUCUUUGCCCUUCUCGGCAAGAUCGGCCUCCAGCUGCACCACCUUCAUCUCCAGCUCCUUCUUGGCGGCCUCGGCAACUGCGGCAGCAUCCUCUGCUUGCUUAAGGGCUCCGCCGAGUUUUUCCUCGCGCACGGCAAGCUCCUCCUCGUGGGCGUCAAGAUUGACCUUCCGCUGCGCCAGCUCGCCCUCCUCCACGAAUAGCUUCACAGCGGCAAGUCGCUGUUGCUCUUCGACUUCAGCCUUCUCGAGGAGGAAGGCCUUCUGCACUUCGGCAAGCUGCUCCCGCUCCUCCGCCAGGGACCGGAGGGCUUCCUGGUGGAAACCCCCGAGCUCUUCCGCGCGCUUCUCGAUGUCUGCUCCCGCCUUCGCGACAAGCGCCUCGUGGGAUUCCAGCUUGGCUUGCCGCGCGCGGUAGAGCGACAACAACUUCCGCAGCAGCCGCUCCUCCUCAGGCUCGUUGCUGCUGCUGCUCGGCGCGUCAACCAGAGUCAGCCCAACGGAGGCAAGCACCUCCCCGUCGAAGAUCUCUCCCUCGACCGGCGCCCUGGAGCUCGAUGCCCAGGGAAGGUUGAUGAAGACGUCGUCGCCGGCCUUCAAGUAGACGCCUGGCUGGGGCUCUUCGGAGCCUGGCGCUGCGGCAGCAGCGGACGGGUCGGCGGUCGGUGUAGCACCUGGCGCUCCUAUGGCCUCAGGGCCGUCAGUGCGAUCACCAGACCCCUCGCCAGUUGCCGCGGCGGCAGCCUUGGCGGCCUCUGCGCCGGCGGGAUCGUCAGCACCGGCCGCUUCUUCGGCGGCAACCUCGGUCUCCAUCGGCUCCGUAGCAGAUGGGUCUGACAGCCGGGAAAGGGAAAAGAGUCAAGCAAAAACCCAAGAAGAUCAAAAGAAGAAGAACCCAAGGAAAGUUUUGAAGCGAAAGGAUUACCUGUGCCGGGUUCUGCAGUCGUGGUCUCCACCAUCGGGGGGCCGCUGGUGCUGUCCCUUGCCGGAGACUUCUCCCUUACCGGAAAGCCCUCCCUUGCCGGAGAGCUCUCCCUUGUCGGGGGACUCUCCCUUGGCUCCUGGUGGGGCUGCUCUGCUCCUACACAAACCAGCAGUAAGAUAUCAGCAAAGACAGAGUAUCCAUGCGCAUCUCACAGCGGAAAGCAAACCAUAUACUUACGCUGGGGGCUCCUCUGGAGAAAAGUUGCCGGGUCUGGCAAGGUUGUCUCGAGCGCACCCCCUGCUGUCGCAGUAGGUUCGUCCUCGAUGACAAUCACCGGGACUUUGGCUCUCUUUGCUGCUCUCUGGGCCAGAGUCCUAAAAAGGAACAAGUUCAGAGUCAAGCAAAUGAGAUACAAGACAAACAGCAAGGAUUGAAGAACUACAAGUACACCAAGGGAGUCUUACUCUUCUUCUUCUUCCUCGUCGGAGCUGAACGCGGAGAAGUCGAAGUCUGGCUCACGUCCGGCGCGAGGAGGCGGAGGAGUAGCUUCCCUUGGCCGCUUGGCGGGGGCAGUGGCGACAGUCUGAGACGACCCCGCUCCGGCUGUCGCCACGGCGUGAGAAGCGGCAGGAGUAGAAGCGGUGGUCUGGGAGGGCCCCGCUCCAGUUGCCGUCGCAGCGUGAGGUGCUCCUGCGGUAACAGUGCUUGCCGCGGUGGAACGUGUCACACGACGCGGCGACUGUUGCCUCGCCUGCCGCUCCGCUACGUCACCGACCUUGCAGAGACGCCUUCUUGGUGGGGAUGGAGGCUCUGCUUGCGGCGAGCUGUCUGAAGAUGAGGAGGAAGACGAGUUGAUCUCCAGCGAGCCGCUCGUAUCCUUGGCGGGCUCGCUCGACUCGACGUUAUGCCCGGCAAGCUCUUUCUUGCCGGCAGGCUCCCCUCGCUCGGCACGGCUUGCCGCCUCUGCUGCCUCUGCCUCCUCCAUGGUGAAUCCAAAUUCGCCUGCGGCUGCGGCUGCCGCCGCCUCUUCUAGCCUAGUGGUGAUGAGUGCCAUCUCCGCAUCGGUGGUGUCGCGGGUGAGGCUAUCUUUCUCGUCGGAGCGGAUCGGCACUUCUACCAAGUCAUCGAAGAAUUGCUGCACGACAUCGUCUGCAGGCUCUUGCCAAGUUGGGACAAUUCCAUGCGAGUCGCACAACGGCAUCAUUGCACGGAUGCGGUCGAGCGUGGAGUUGUUGCACAGCGGAACGAUCCCCCCCGGCAACCUGAAAACUUCGGGGUGUUGAGGGUCGUACUUGAACAGCUCCUGGAGCAUCGCGUUGAGCUCCAGAACUGUGAAGUUGAAGUUGAGGCCCGGCCGCAACCUCAUGAUAUCGGCCGCAUUCUUGAACUCCCAAGUGGGUCUCCCCCGUUCCUGCAGGGGGGCGAUGCAGCGACGAAGAAAAUCCGCGCCAACAGCACCUACAGUGAGCCCGGCAAGCCUGAGGCGUAGGAUCCGGGUGACAGCAAUCUUCAGCCUGUCGUCUUCCGGGGCCACGUCACUCCAAUCGCUGCCGCGUGCUACUAGGGUUUGGCGCCGGGUGGUGAAUGGCUGCGGGUUCUCCUCGUCAAUCCAGCACCAGUCUGCUCUCCACUCCUCCCACUUGCCGCGGAAUUCUCCCUCCAGAUAAGUUUCCUUCUUGCCGGCCCUUGAGAUCCAGGCGAUUCCGCCGGAUAAAGGCUCUCCUCUCUCUACUCGGGGUAUAAAGAAGUGGCGAAAGAGGGCUACAUUGGGAUGGACUCCGACAAAGUUUUCGCAGAGAUGUGCGAAAACUGCCAUGGUCAGAAUGGCAUUGGGGGUGAAGUCGAGGAGAUGGAACCCGUAGGUGUUCAUGAUAUCGCAGAAGAAUUCAGAGAAAGGCGGGCAGAGCCCGCAGUAGAAGAACAAGGCGAAGAAAGGGUAUCCAUUUGGGGCCUUCUUCCAAGCGGCGGCGGGAAGUACCUUCGUGCGCGGAUGCGCUCGUGUCUCCGUCGACCAGAAGAGGUAGCAGUUCUCCCUCAGCUCCCUCGUGGCAAGCUUGGGGGGGAAGACUGUCCGCUCCUUUUGCAGCGCCGCAAGCCGCUGCGCCUCGGUUGACUUCACGACCUUCCCCUUGUCGGCUUUUGGGGCCAUGGCGGAAGUGGUGGAGGAGGUCGACGGCGUUGGUGGUGCUGGUGGCGAUGGGGGGCGGAGCGCUGCUCUCUUUCGGCUUUGGGAAGACGAGGGAGCGGCGGAGAUUUUUGAGAUUGGAGCAGCAACGGGCGAAUGGACGAACUACUCCUGUUUCCCCUGCUUAUAAAGAGGGAGGGGGCGGACGUUCCGCAUUUCCGAAUAAAGAAACCACCCACGAUCUCUCCCACGACGCCGCAUUCAACGCGUGUCGUUCGGGAAGGGCGCAGUGGAUACGGAGAGAGAUACGGCGUAACCUAGGCCGCGCGUGCCCGUGCCCUGUUUUGGGCCUGGCCCAACAGCGCUCGGCACCGUGUAUGGCCCAGGCCCGGGGGCUCCUGUCGAUGUACUAGAGUAGGGGUACCCUACUAUCCCGAACUUGCGCACGGGCAGUCACAGCAUCCCGCGGCAAGGCUUGCCGGGUGACCGCCAAGGUCCUCCGUGGUUCCUUUGGAGCCAUUCAAGAACAAAGUAUCCAAACCAAGACACCACAAGACCCCGACAAGAGGAGCUUGCCGGGAGGGCCAACCAAGGCAAGGCGCUUAAGGAGACAAGACCCCGGCAAGAGGAGCUUGCCGGGAAGGCCACCCAAGGCAUCUCAAGGAACUUGCCACGGCGCGCCUCGCGUCCCGGCAAGGCCCGGUGAGCGACAAGCUCCCGGACGUGACAAGACAACGACCGCGGCAAGGCGCUUGCCGCGGCAAGCCACCACUCUGUGCCCGCGCUCCAGCACAUCCACCAACGUGUCGCUCUGGGACCCUUCCAGGCGUGCGUGGCGGGAGGCUGUGCAGCCAGCGGUGCGCAGUGGCAAGCGGCGCUGACAAGAUUGCCAUCGUGGCGAGCGGUGGCGUCCCUGACGGUCCCUUUUGCACUGUUUAGGCGACACAGACGGGCAUUUAAUGCCCUUGUCCCCUGCCAUCAGGGUUAGGUAUGAUACACUAUAGCAGGUAGUUGUACCUACUGCAGCUCCUUUCCAUUUUUACCCUUUGUCUCCGUUGCCACCUGUCGGUGACCCCUUGAGCAUAUAAAAGGAGGCCCAUGUGCAACGUAGAGGGGGGUUCGGAAAAAAGAGAACACUCAGGCUCGGUCUCGUUAGCCGCUGGUGUGUACUGUAGCACUCCGCGCUCCCGAGCAAGAACCCAAUACAAACCACAAAGCAGGAGUAGGGUUUUACGCAUCCGUGCAGCCCGAACCUGGGUAAACUGCUCGUGUGCUUUGCCUCGAUCCGCUCUUCGUGCGACCUCCGCCCCCGCCGAACCGAAAGGGACUCGGUCCGCCGGUCCCAUAGGUGUUCGUGGAUUAGUCCCCCGACACCACCGUCGUGUCCGGAUCAUCCACAAACAUCUACAAAACAUCACCGUUUUCUUAUUUGGACUCCCUAGCUAUUUUAUUCGCGACCGUCCGAUUAAGAUCGGAGGGACCAGAUGCCCCUAACUCAAACCCACCUACUAUAUAUAUCUAGACAACCCACCUAAUUUCUAGGGAUCCUACCUCGUGCCGCCGCCACACUCUUUCUCGGGAUCCCUCCCAAUCCAAACCCACCAAUCACCAGACCUCUCUCGAUCCCCUCUGCCCGAGCUCCUCCCGCAGCUCCCCAUCGCCCUCGACCCUGCCUCGUCGUCCGGCCGACACCGGCGACCGAAACCUCGCCGGAGAUGAGUACCUCAACAGCCCCGCUCCUUUUUCCCUCCUGCUUCUCAACCUCUCCUUCUCACGAUCUUCCCUUUCCUUUCUCUAUUUUCUCUCACAGGGAUCCAUGGCGCUGCCGCUUGGAGCUCUGCCUCCUUCGGCCACCUCCUCGCCUCGUCGCCAUCGACCUGCAGAGGGACACGCCAUGGCCACCCUCGUCUUCAAGUCGCGUCGCCCGCGCCCGGAUUUGGCGCCCUCAGCAUGCCCAUGCACGGGUUCCGCGCAUCCCCGUCCUCUCCUGCAACCCUUUAUCGAACUCCAUGGGCAGCCUCCCAUGUUUGACUCUUUGCGCCGCCCCGUUUGACCUCCAGUUCCAGUCCCUCAUCGCCACCACUUCGCCAGGCGCCUCGUCAUCGGGGAGCACCCCAGCACUGCUGUUGUACUCCUCUUCUUUCUUCUCUCUCCCCCCUUUUCCUUUCCCGUCGCUCUCCAAGUUCUCUGAACUCUCUGUCUUUCUUCAGGAGUUGCAGCAACCUUCGAGUUCGAGCAGCCGCCUCCUGCACGGAUCGAAGACCUCCUGUUGCUCGGAUCUUGACGCCGCUGAGCUCCCAUGUCGGAUCGGACUCCUCCACGCAUCCCCGACCUCUGGCCUCGCUGUGCCGUCCCCGUGCAGGUUCCUGCCUCUGCCUCGUCCUCGUCUGAGCAGAGGACGACUGCUUCUUCAUCGCGCGCAAGGGCUGCAGCCGCGGCAAGGCCCAGCCAGCGUCUCUGCCAGCAGCCUUGCGCCCCCCCAACUGGGCCUCAGCCCACUAGGUGAAGCCACACCCCAGCGCCCCACCUUCCUUUCCUAUUGUUGGGCCAGAUUCUUGUUUCGGCCCGUAAUGUGUUUUUUAGAUCUGGUGUUUUUGUCUUUUUUUCCAGAGGCUGCCAGCUUUACAGAAAACCCCGCAUAGUUCUUGCAUAUAAUAACUCCCAAUUGGUGCAUCGGAUUAAAAUGAAUUAUAUAUGAAAAUGCUUAGAAUUAUGUGUAGGUUAAUCAUUUGCAACUUUCAUCCAUGUUUAAAAUGUUUAAAAUGUUGUUUGGUUAAAUUUGCUCCUAUGCCAUGCUAAAAUGAUUUAUUUCAUAACUAAAUAACUGUAACUCGGAAUUUAAUAAACUUUAUAUGUAAAUGGGGUGGAAAAUGCCUAGUUUAACAUGGUGUCCUCACUUUGCAUGUUUAACAACUAUAAAAUAUGGUUUAGGGCAGAACAGUACCAAAUCUAUAAUAUGCGCAUGAGGAGUUUCUGGACUUGUUGUUUGUUGUUCCGGCCUCAUUUAAACUUGCCUAGAUAGGUAGUUAUCAUUUGCUUCACCCCUUGCCAUGUUAAUCAACAUUUAAUAUUGUUGGGUACAUAAACGAGAUCGAACUAAAUAACUUGAAUGUGGUGUUUGUUAAUAUGCAUCCCGAUGCAUAUUGAGCUCCACUUAAUUUGUAGGAUUGCUUGUGCAUUUUGCCAUGCCAUGCUUCAUUAAACCGGACAUGCAUCAUACUCGAUUGUGCAUCAUGCCAUGUUUAUGUGAUGGUUGUUUACUUUGUUGUUUCUUUCUUUCUGGGUUACUUCUCGCGUUAGCUUCGGUUUUGUUCCGGAGUUGUGAGGAUCCGUUCAUCUACGUCCGUUUGUCUUCUUCAUGGACUCGUUCUUCUUCCUUGCGGGAUUUCAGGCAAGAUGACCAUACCCUCGAAAUCACUUCUAUCUUUGCUUGCUAGUUGCUCGCUCUUUUGCUAUGCCUAUGCCGUGAUACCUACCACUUGAUUAUCAUGCCUCCUAUAUUGUUGAGCCAAGCCUCUAACCCACCUUGUCCUAGAAAACCGUUGUUUGGCUAUGUUACCGCUUUGCUCAGCCCCUCUUAUAGCGUUGUUAGUUGCAGGUGAAGAUUGGAGCUUGUUCCAUAUUGGAACAUGGAUAUUUUGUUGGGAUAUCACAAUAUCUCUUAUUUAAUUAAUGCAUCUAUAUACUUGGUAAAGGGUGGAAGGCUCGGCCUUAUGCCUGGUGUUUUGUUCCACUCUUGCCGCCCUAGUUUCCGUCAUAUCGGUGUUAUGUUCCCGGAUUUUGCGUUCCUUACGUGGUUGAGUUAUAAUGGGAACCCCUUGACAGUUCGCCUUGAAUAAAACUCCUCCAGCAAUGCCCAACAUUGGUUUUACCAUUCGCCACCUAGCCUCUUUUUCCCUUGGGAGUCGCGCUCCUGAGGUCAUCAUUAUUUUACCCCCCGGGCCAGUGCUCCUCUGAGUGUUGGUCCAAACUAGAGCCCUGUGCAUCGCCCCCUUGGGGAAACUCGAGGUUUGGUUUUAGUUGUAUGGAGAGCUCAUCUGAGUGUGCCCUGAGAAUGAGAUAUGUGCAGCUCCUAUCGGGAUUUGUCGGCACAUUCGGGCGGUGUUGCUGGACUUGUUUUACCAUUGUCGAAAUGUCUUGUAACCUGGAUGCCGAGUCUGAUCGGAAUGUCUUGGGAGAAGGAAUAUCCUUCGUUGACCGUGAGAGCUUGUGAUGGGCUAAGUUGGGACACCCCUGCGGGGAUUUGAACUUUCGAAAGCCGUGCCCGCGGUUAUGGGCAGAUGGGAAUUUGUUAAUGUUCGGUUGUAGAUAACAUGAAACUUAACUUAAUUAAGAUACACCAACCGCGUGUGUUACCGUGAUGGUCUCUUCUCGGUGGAGUCCGGGAAGUGAACACGGUGUUGGAGUAAUGCUUGACGUAGGUUGUUCUAGGAUCACUUCUUGAUCACAGUUUCUCGAUCGUGCUCUGAUUGUAUCUGGUUGAUGUAAUGCUUUAUUCAUGUAAUUGUGCAGUCUGUGCCAUCAGGCUCGGGGUGCUCAGGGGGAAACCUCAGAUCUGGGUCUUCCGGAUCGGAUGAUGAUGGCGUUUUACCGCUUUCCCUUCUGGGGGCAUCGUUUUGGAGCAAGUGCUGGCUGGAGGGAUGGUGGAGCGGUGCUUCAUCUCACACAUUGAUGGCGGCGGAGAUCGAUGGCAUGGCGCUGUGGAGACUCGACGUCCGAUGCGCGGAGAUGGGCUCGCGCAGGAGGAGGUUGCUAUCUGGCGUCAUGGUGACGUCGAUGGCAGAGUGGCCAGACAGGGUAGAAGCCUCAAUAUGAUCUGAAGACCUGUGGAAGAUGGCGACGACGACACACGAGUGCGUCUGACCAGAUUGUCCUGGUAGGUGGCUCGGCUGGGGAGUCCGAAUGAGUUUCGGCUUCCGGCUUUUGAUGUUAGGCUUAGGUGACUGGUCUGGGUAGUGGCCCAGCUAGCACCCCUUCAUCAUAUUGGAUAGGAGUAGCGGCAUAUGUUGCCUAGAUGGUGGAUUCAGACACAUUGUUGUAAUACUUUGUACGGUCCUCGUGAAUAAUCAAUAAAGUGGCCGUAUGCAUCUCCCAGAUGCAGAGGCCGGGGGUCAUCCUCCUUUUCUAAAAAAAAAUGUAAUUGUGUGAAGUGGCGAUUGUAAGCCAACUAUGUAUCUCUUUCCCUUAUGUAUUACAUGGGUUGUGUGAAGAUUACCUCACUUGCGACAUUGCUUUCAAUGCGGUUAUGCCUCUAAGUCGUGCUUCGACACAUGGGAGAUAUAGCCGCAUCGAGGGCGUUCCAAGAGGUUUGUAGGACAAUAUCAAAUUUCCCUCAAGUGGAUGACCUAAGGUUUAUCAAUCCGUAGGAGGCGUAGGAUGAAGAUGGUCUCUCUCAGGCAACCCUGCAACCAAAUAACAAAGAGUCUCUUGUGUCCCUAACACACCGAAUACAAUGGUAAAUUGUAUAGGUGCACUAGUUCGGCGAAGAGACGGUGAUACAAGUGGUAUAUGGAUAAUAGAUAAAGGUAUUUGUAAUCUGAAAAUAUAAAAACAGCAAGGUAACUAAUGAUAAAAGUGAGCGUAAACGAUAUUGCAAUGCUAGGAAACAAGGCCUAGGGUUCAUACUUUCACUAGUGUAAGUUCCCUCAACAAUACUAACAUAAUUGGAUCACAUAACUAUCCCUCAACAUGCAACAAAGAGUCACUCCAAAGUCACUAAUAGCGGAGAACGAACAAAGAGAUUAUGGUAGGGUACGAAACCACCUCAAAGUUAUUCUUUCCAAUCAAUCUGUUGGGCUAUUCCUAUAAUUGUCACAAACAGCCCUAGAGUUCGUAAUAGAAUAACACCUUAAGACACAAAUCAACCAAAACCCUAAUGUCACCUAGAUACUCCAAUGUCACCUCAAGUAUCCAUGGGUAUGAUUAUACGAUAUGCGUCACACAAUCUCAGAUUCUAUUCAACCAACACAAAGGACCUCAAAGAGUGCCCCAAAGUUUCUACCAGAGAAUCACGACGAAAACGUGUGCCAACCCCUAUGCAUAGGUUCAUGGGCGGAACCCGCAAGUUGGUCACCAAAAAAUACAUCAAGUGGCAUGUGGUAUCCCAUUGUCACCACAGAUAUCCACGGCAAGACAUACAUCAAGUGUUCUCAAAACUUUAAAGACUCAAUCGGAUAAGAUUACUUCAAAGGGGAAACUCAAUUCAUUACAAGAGAGAAGAGGGGGAGGAGAAACAUAAGAUCCAACUAUAAUAGCAAAGCUCGCGAUACAUCAAGAUCAUGCCAAAUCAAGAACACGAGAGAGAGAGAGAGAGAUCAAACACAUAGCUACUGGUACAUACCCUCAGCCCCGAGGGAGAACUACUCCCUCCUCGUCAUGGAGAGCAUCGUGAUGAUGAAUAUGGCCACUAAGGAAGGAUUUCCCCCUCCGGCAGGGUGCCGGAACGGGUCUAGAUUGGCUUUCGGUGGCUACGGAGGCUUAUGGCGGCGGAACUCCCGAUCUAUUGUCCGUUCUGGAAGUUUUAGGGUAUAUGGAGUUAUAUAGGCAGAAGAAGCACGUCAGGGGAGCCACGAGGGCCCCACGAGGCAGGGGGGCACGCCCCUACCCUCGUGAGCUCCUCCUUCCUUCCUUGACGUGGGGUCCAAGUCCAUCGGGUGGCUUUCGUUCCAAAAAUAACUUCUCUAGUUGAUUUCGUUCCAUUUCAACUCCGUCUGAUAUUCCUUUUCUUCAAAACACUGAAAUAGGCAUAAAACAGCAAAUCUGGGUUGGGCCUCCGGUUAAUAGGUUAGUCCCGAAAGUAAUAUAAAAGUGGAUAAUAAUGCCCAAUAACGCCCAAAACAGUAGAUAAUAUAGCAUGGAGCAAUCAAAAAUUAUAGAUACAUUGGAGACGUAUCAAGCAUCCCCAAGCUUAUAUCCUGCUCGUCCUCGAGUAGGUAAAUGAUAAAAAAGAUAAUUUUUGAUGUGGAAUGCUAGUUGUCAUAAUUUCAAUGUAAUUCUUCUUACUUGUGAUAUGAAUAUUCAGAUCCGAAAGAUUCAAGACAAAAGUUCAUAUUGACAUAAAAAUGAUAAUACUUCAAGCAUACUAACUAAGCAAUCAUGUCUUCUCAAAAUAACAUGGCUAAAGAAAGCUAUCCCUACAAAAUCAUAUAGUCUGGCUAUGCUCCAUCUUCACCACACAAAGUAUUUAAAUCAUGCACAACCCCGAUGACAAGCCAAGCAAUUGUUUCAUACUUUUGAUGUUCUCAAACCUUUUCAAUCUUCACGCAAUACAUGAGCGUGAGCCAUGGACAUAGCACUAUAGGUGGAAUUGAAUGGUGGUUGUGGAGAAGAAAAAAAGGGAGAAGAUAGUCUCACAUCAACCAGGCGUAUCAACGGGCUAUGGAGAUGCCCAUCAAUAGAUAUCAAUGUGAGUGAGUAGGGAUUGCCAUGCAACGGAUGCACUAGAGCUAUAAGUAUAAGAAAGCUCAAAAAGAAACUAAGUGGGUGUGCAUCCAACUUGCUUGCUCAUGAAGACCUAGGGCAAUUGACACUAGUAGAAAAAGGGUCAAAUGUGAAGCACAUUAGUGCCGGUUUGAAUUUGAGCCGGCAAUAAUGUGACCAUUAGUGCCGGUUCCAACGGCUAGGCGGGCGGGCAUCAUUAGUACCGGUUCAUGGGCAACCUUUAGUACCGGUUCAUGCCACGAACCGGUACUAAUGAGGCCAGUGCGGCUGUGGUCAGGCUGGGGCCCCCACGAAGACCUUUAGUACCGGUUCAUGGCAUGAACCGGUACUAGAGUUUCUUAGUAAGCUGAUUUUUAGUCCCACCUCGCCAAGAGAGAGGCAGUAUGAGCGGUUUAUAAGCCGUGAGUGCAGAGACAAUGACGAAGAGGCGCAAUGCUCACCUGCACGUUGAUUAGCUUCAAGCCUUUCGGAAUAGCAUAGAUUGCACUGAGCUAUGUGUAGUGCAGUCUACACUAUUCCGAAAGGCUUGAAGCAAAUUAACCAGCAUUGCACCUCUUUUUUAUUUUUAAUAACUUAUUUGAACUCCGGACUUCUUUUGUGUUUAGUAUGCAGCAUUCAAAGCAACGUCAUCAAUUUCCAACAUGUUCUGACAUCAUUUGUUGUUUUUCGGUCAUUACCUAAUUGUUUAGAGAGCUAAAUGACCGUGAAAUUGAAAAUCACUACAAAAUGAAUUCUAAAAAUGUUGAAAAUUGGCAUGGUAUCAUCAUUUCACCCGCAUAGCAUGUGCGAAAGAGUAGAGAGGGUCACGGCAUAAAUUGGACAAACUCUUUCGGAGUAUCAGGGUUUCGGACGAGAACUCAUUUGUUACACGGGCACUUCAAUGUUUUUUAAACUUAUUUGAACUCUGGACAUCUUUUGUGUUCAGUAUGCAACAUUCAAAGUGACGUCAUCAAUUUUCAACAUGUUCUGACAUCAUUUNNNNNNNNNNNNNNNNNNNNNNNNNNNNNNNNNNNNNNNNNNNNNNNNNNNNNNNNNNNNNNNNNNNNNNNNNNNNNNNNNNNNNNNNNNNNNNNNNNNNNNNNNNNNNNNNNNNNNNNNNNNNNNNNNNNNNNNNNNNNNNNNNNNNNNNNNNNNNNNNNNNNNNNNNNNNNNNNNNNNNNNNNNNNNNNNNNNNNNNNNNNNNNNNNNNNNNNNNNNNNNNNNNNNNNNNNNNNNNNNNNNNNNNNNNNNNNNNNNNNNNNNNNNNNNNNNNNNNNNNNNNNNNNNNNNNNNNNNNNNNNNNNNNNNNNNNNNNNNNNNNNNNNNNNNNNNNNNNNNNNNNNNNNNNNNNNNNNNNNNNNNNNNNNNNNNNNNNNNNNNNNNNNNNNNNNNNNNNNNNNNNNNNNNNNNNNNNNNNNNNNNNNNNNNNNNNNNNNNNNNNNNNNNNNNNNNNNNNNNNNNNNNNNNNNNNNNNNNNNNNNNNNNNNNNNNNNNNNNNNNNNNNNNNNNNNNNNNNNNNNNNNNNNNNNNNNNNNNNNNNNNNNNNNNNNNNNNNNNNNNNNNNNNNNNNNNNNNNNNNNNNNNNNNNNNNNNNNNGCGAAAGAGUAGAGAGGGUCGCGGCCAAAACUGGAUGCACUUUGUGUACAAACUGGAUAAACUCUUUCGGAGUAUCAGGGUUUCGGACGAGAACUCAUCUGUUACACGGGCACUUCAAUGUUUUUAAACUUAUUUGAACUCCGGACUUCUUUUGUGUUCAGUAUGCAGCAUUCAAAGCGACGUCAUCAAUUUCCAACAUGUUCUAACAUCAUUUGUUGUUUUUCGGUCAUUCACCUAAUUGUUUAGAGAGCUUAAUGACCGUGAAAUUGAAAAUCACUACAAAAUGAACUCUGAAAAUGUUGAAACUUGGCAUGGUAUCAUCAUUUCACCCGCAUAGCAUGUGCGAAAGAGUAGAGAGGGUCCCGGCAAAAACUGGACGCACUUCGUGUACAAACUGGACAAACUCUUUCGGAGUAUCAGUGUUUCGGACGAGAACUCAUCUGUUACACGGGCACUUCAAUGUUUUUUAAACUUAUUUGAACUCCGGACUUCUUUUGUGUUCAGUAUGCAGCAUUCAAAGCGACGUCAUCAAUUUCCAACAUGUUCUGACAUCAUUUGUUGUUUUUCGGUCAUUUACCUAAUUGUUUAGAGAGCUAAAUGACCGUGAAAUUGAAAAUCAUUACAAAAUGAACUCUGAAAAUGUUGAAACUUGGCAUGGUAUCAUCAUUUCACCAGCAUAGCAUGUGUGAAAGAGUAGAGAGGGUCACGGCAAAAACUGGACGCACUUUGUGUACAAACUGGACAAACUCUUUCGGGGUAUCAGGGUUUCGGACGAGAACUCAUCUGUUACACGGGCACUUCAAUGUUUUUUAAAAUUAUUUGAACUCCAGACUUCUUUUGUGUUCAGUAUGCAGCAUUCAAAGCGACGUCAUCAAUUUCCAACAUGUUCUGACAUCAUUUGUUGUUUUUCGGUCAUUUACCUAAUUGUUUAGAGAGCUAAAUGACCGUAAAAUUGAAAAUCACUACAAAAUGAAUUCUGAAAAUGUUGAAACUUGCAAUGGUAUUAUCAUUUCGGAGUAUCAGAGUAGAGAGGGUCACAAAAAAACUACUCAGAAAUAAAUAGAAGAAAAUAAAUAAAGCAGAAAAGAAUAAAACUAUAUAAAAAAUUACUCAAAAAUAAAUAGAAGAAAAUAAAUAAUGCAGAAAACAAAAAACUAUAUAAAAAAUUNNNNNNNNNNNNNNNNNNNNNNNNNNNNNNNNNNNNNNNNNNNNNNNNNNNNNNNNNNNNNNNNNNNNNNNNNNNNNNNNNNNNNNNNNNNNNNNNNNNNNNNNNNNNNNNNNNNNNNNNNNNNNNNNNNNNNNNNNNNNNNNNNNNNNNNNNNNNNNNNNAAAAAACUAUAUAAAAAUUACUCAAAAAUAAACAGAAGAAAAUAAAUAAUGCAGAAAAGAAAAAACUAUAUAAAAAAAUUGUUGGGGCGCUGCCCAGUGGGCCUGCCAGACCUAGGGUGUGCAAAUGCGCUCUAGUUAGGCCCAGCAGACUCACAGGGCAGCGCGCCCUAGUUAGGCCCAGAAGACAGAUAUAUUGAGAAGCUCGAAGGAGCAGCAGCGGCUGGGUUUAUAAACCAGUGCGGCUGCCCUUCGCUUGGCGAGGUGGGACUAAACGUUGUGCACCGCCGGUGGCAGCGCACAACCAUUAGUACCGGUUGGUGGCUCCAACCGGUACUAAUGAUUGGGCCUUUAGUACCGGUUCGUGGCACGAACCGGUACUAAAGGGGCCGUUUCCCGCCCCUUGGCCUGGCGAAAAUUGGCCUUUAGUAUCGGUUGGUGGCUCCAACCGGUACUAAAGGCCCCUCCCAUAUAUAUGGCACUUAGAAAAAUUCAGUUUCAUCGACCACCACUUCUUCUCGAUCCAACUUCUUCGCCGCGCCCGUCGCCCAUCGCGCGCCGCCCUCGCCGCCCCCGCCGCCCGUCGUCGCCGUCACCGCCGUUGCCCCCACCACCCGUCGUCGCNNNNNNNNNNNNNNNNNNNNNNNNNNNNNNNNNNNNNNNNNNNNNNNNNNNNNNNNNNNNNNNNNNNNNNNNNNNNNNNNNNNNNNNNNNNNNNNNNNNNNNNNNNNNNNNNNNNNNNNNNNNNNNNNNNNNNNNNNNNNNNNNNNNNNNNNNNNNNNNNNNNNNNNNNNNNNNNNNNNNNNNNNNNNNNNNNNNNNNNNNNNNNNNNNNNNNNNNNNNNNNNNNNNNNNNNNNNNNNNNNNNNNNNNNNNNNNNNNNNNNNNNNNNNNNNNNNNNNNNNNNNNNNNNNNNNNNNNNNNNNNNNNNNNNNNNNNNNNNNNNNNNNNNNNNNNNNNNNNNNNNNNNNNNNNNNNNNNNNNNNNNNNNNNNNNNNNNNNNNNNNNNNNNNNNNNNNNNNNNNNNNNNNNNNNNNNNNNNNNNNNNNNNNNNNNNNNNNNNNNNNNNNNNNNNNNNNNNNNNNNNNNNNNNNNNNNNNNNNNNNNNNNNNNNNNNNNNNNNNNNNNNNNNNNNNNNNNNNNNNNNNNNNNNNNNNNNNNNNNNNNNNNNNNNNNNNNNNNNNNNNNNNNNNNNNNNNNNNNNNNNNNNNNNNNNNNNNNNNNNNNNNNNNNNNNNNNNNNNNNNNNNNNNNNNNNNNNNNNNNNNNNNNNNNNNNNNNNNNNNNNNNNNNNNNNNNNNNNNNNNNNNNNNNNNNNNNNNNNNNNNNNNNNNNNNNNNNNNNNNNNNNNNNNNNNNNNNNNNNNNNNNNNNNNNNNNNNNNNNNNNNNNNNAAGUGUUUAAUGUUUCACCUAUAUAUGAACAUAUGUUAGAUAUUAAUGUCAAAUGUUAGAUGAAUUAGAUAUGAAUUAUAUGUUAGAUAUAUAUUUAAUUUAGUUAUAUGAGAUUUCAUUAUCUAAUUAACAUUUUAUUAUAUAGAACUAGCUACCUUAUUUUAGUAAGAAAAUUAAUAGAACUAGUUUAGUUGAAUUAGUUGAAUUAAUUAGUUGAACUAGUUAGUUGAAUUAGUUCAAUUAAUUAGGUAUAUUUUUUGUAAGUGCUUAGUUGAAUUAGUUCAAUUAAUUAGUUGAACUAGUUGAAUUAACAGAAUUAGUUGAAUUAAUAGAACUAAUAAGUGUUUAAUGUUUCACCUAUGAAUAUAGGAAUGUCGUCUGACGACGAACACGAUUUCAUUAUGUGCGAAUACUGCGAAGACCAGCGCGGCCUGUGCGGCAGAAAUUUUCUAGUUGAUGAUAGACGCUUCAGCAUCAAUCUGGAUGAGAACUUCAAAGUGGAUACAGUAAGUCACAAUGACAAGUCUUUUUUCGUAAUUAAGCAUGACUUAUGCUUCAUUUGCUUCAACUUUUAAUUUUAAUUUUUCACUAUUCUACUAGCGUAUCCACUGCCAUGCAAGAAUUUUUUGUCUUGGAUAAGAUAGGUUUCAGUCCUAACGAAACUAUGGAGGUAAAAAGAGUUUACUUGAAGACCGAGUAUGGUUAUACCUUCAACGUCAAAUUAUACAAUGCAGACACAUACACCUAUUUUGAAUGCAAAACUUGGCAAGCAGUAUGCAAGGCUUAUGCAUUUGAGCCUGGUAUGGUUAUCACCUUUGAUAUUCGUCCGGAAGAUGAUAUUGAAGGUAAUAGAGACAUCUGGGUCGAUGUGCAGACGCCUCCAGUUCUACCAUUAUGUGAGUUUCUCAACCAUAUUUAUGUCUUCGAUAUGAGAUUAUUUGAACCAGUUGAAUAAUUAAUAGAUCUCAAUUUAUAUUGACAGCUUACUUCCAAUCAAGCAAACAUGUCCGGCGCUUGGUAGACAGGACCGUCCACUGUCCGGGGGCUGAACUAAACUGCGAGGAGACAAGUCAUUAUGUUUCAUGGCUUGAGGAUCUUGAUGCUGUCAAGACAAAUUUCUUUCCUGCACUUAGAAAUGUUAGUACUCAAAACGUGCGACCAAUAGUGUUCGUACUGAACUACGGUCACAUAUAUUUAGGAAAGAUGGUAAGAUUUCUACUAUUUCUCCUCAGUGCAUCUUUUGCAUACAUUAUUUUUAAGCUAAACUUCAUUGCUAAGUAUGUUACUAUACGAUGUUCUUCAACAGGGACUCCCGAUGAAUGUUGUGCCUAAUUGGAUCGAGACUAAAGGUACCAUGAAUAUUGUUAGCUUACGGCCAAGAUAUCCUACAAUGCACUUUAGUGCAUUCAGGAUUUCUAAUAGCGAGGAAUGCUUAAUAGUAAAAGACUGGAGCAAAAUUGUGAACGAUCACAGAGAAGUACUAGGGGGCAGCAAUCAGAAGCGCAACCCACGAUUAGGAGACAGGUUCAUAUGCAUGCUCCAAUAUGAUGAAUCAGCAAAGCUAUACAUGUUCUAUGCUAUUUUACUUGAGAGAGAGCAGCAGGAGUGAUUAAUUAGCUAGUUCAUGCUCUUAGUACUUGUCCUCUCAUGUCCGUGUUCUUCGUCCUGAACUUAAUCUCAAAAAGUGAUUUGCUUUUGUGGUGUUAUGAACGCUUAUAAUAUCAUUACCAUGUUGAACUCGAUGAUAUCUUUGCUAUGAAAACCGUUGGUGAUGAUAUAUAUGAUGCAAGAGUUUUAUAUUAAUAUGAUGAUGAUGAUGAUGAGUUAUUAUAUCAUUUAUGAAAGAAACUGCAUAUUAGUUUCAACUGGAUGGAUUCUAGCUAAGUGAUCAAGUAUAUGCCAUAUCCAUAUUACCUCGAUCACUUAAGUAGGUGAUCAAGUAUAUAUAAUAUGGAUAUGACAUAUACUUGAUGACUUAGUUAGGAUCCAUGCAUCCAGUCAAACUAAUCUGCGGUCAUUGUUGAGGAAAUCGUUAACUGGUAGCUGCUCGGUCGGCUGGUGAGUAGGCGAUUAAUAGGCUAAUCGGCAAGUUAAUCGGCCAUUUAAUCAAUUAGUCGGACGAUUUAUCGGGUAAUCGGCUACUCGGGGACCCUAUGAGUAGGGAUUAAUCGGCAAGUUAACUGGUUAAUCGGAUGAAUUCUUGAACAGGGUCUGCGAUACAUUCACCUAAUGAUUUAACAACUCAUUAUAAUGUAAAACAAUCACUAAAUUAAAUUGAAAACACAAAAUUAAAGUAAAAAUAAAAAAUAAAACCAAAACACACCCAAACAUUUAGUACCGGUUGGUGUUACCAACCGGUACUAAUGUCCUACGCGCCCACGGAGCUGGCUCGUGCCACGUGGUUGCCCUUUAGCACCGGUUCGUGCUGAACCGGUACUAAAAGGGGGGGCUUUAGUGCCCACAAUUUAGUGCCGGUUACCGAACCGGCACUAAAGGGCCUUAUGAACCGGUGCUAUUGCCCGGUUCUGCACUAGUGUGAGGAGGCCCAUUGUUGGAAUAUACAAGCCAAGUUCUAUAACGAAAGAUUCCCACUAGUAUAUGAAAGUGACAACAUAGGAGACUCUCUAUCAUGAAGAUCAUGGUGCUACUUUGAAGCACAAGUGUGGUAAAAGGAUAGUAGCAUUGUCCCUUUUAUUUUAUUUUUUAUUUUUUAUUUGGCCUUUCCUUUUUUUAUUUGGCCUUCCCUUUUUUUAUUUGGCCUUUCUCUUUUUUUUUGGGACAAUGCUCUAUUGAAUGAUGAUUAUCACACUUCUAUCUAUUUACAACUCAAUGAUUACAACUCGAUACUAGAACAAAGUAUGACUCUAUAUGAAUGCCUCCGGCGGUGUACCGGGAUGUGCAAUGAAUCAAGAGUGACAUGUAUGAAAGAAUUAUGAAUGGUGGCUUUGCCACAAAUACUGUGUCAACUACAUGAUCAUGCUAAGCAAUAUGACAAUGAUGAAUGUGUCACGAUGAACAGAAUGAUGGAAAGUUGCAUGGCAAUAUAUCUCGGAAUGGCUAUGGAAAUGCCAUAAUAGGUAGGUAUGGUGGCUGUUUUGAGGAAGGUAUAUGGUGGGUUUAUGGUACCGGCGAAAGUUGCGCGGUACUAGAGAGGCUAGCAAUGGUGGAAGGAUGAGAGUACGUAUAAUCCAUGGACUCAACAUUAGUCAUAAAGAACUCACAUACUUAUUGCAAAAAUCUAUUAGUUAUCGAAACAAAGUACUACGCGCAUGCUCCUAGGGGGAUAGAUUGGUAGGAAAAGACCAUCACUUGUCCCCGACCGCCACUCAUAAGGAAGGCAAUCAAUAAAUAAAUCAUGCUCCGACUUCAUCACAUAACGGUUCACCAUACGUGCAUGCUACGGGAAUCACAAACUUCAACACAAGUAUUUCUCAAAUUCACAACUACUCAACUAGCAUGACUCUAAUAUUACCAUCCUCAUAUCUCAAAACAAUCAUCAAGUAUCAAACUUCUCUUAGUAUUCAACACACUCAUAAGAGAAUUUUAUUAUUCUUGAAUACCUAGCAUAUUAGGAUUUUAAGAAAAUUACCAUGCUAUUUAAGACUCUCAAAAUAAUCUAAGUGAAGCAUGAGAGUUCGUCUAUUUCUUCAAAAUAAAACUACCACCAUGCUCUAAAAGAUAUAAGUGAAGCACUAGAGCAAAUGACAAACUAUUCCGAAAGAUAUGAGUGAAGAUCAAUGAGUAGUUGAAUAAUUAUGCAACCAUGUGGAGACUCUCUAAAAUUUAAUAAUUUCAGAUCUUGGUAUUCUAUUCAAACAGCAAGAAAAGCAAAAUAAAAUGACAUCUAAGAAUAGAAAACAUCAUGUGAGUAAGCAAAAACUUAGGAUCAACCGAAACUAACCGAUAGUUGUUGAAGAAGAAAGGUGGGAUGCCAACCGGGGCAUCCCCAAGCUUAGACGCUUGAGACUUCUUGAAAUAUUAUCUUGGGGUGCCUUGGGCAUCCCCAAUCUUGAGCUUUUGUGUCUCCUUAAUUCCUCUCAUAUCAAGGUCUCCCUAAAUCUCAAAAGCUUCAUCCACACAAACCUCAACAAGGACUCGUGAGAUAAGUUAGUAUAAACCAUUGCAAAAACCUUAUCAUAAUCUACUGUAGCAAAUCAGUAAAAUUAUUAUUCAACAUUGCAUACUAAAUGCCUCUGCAUAUUUAAUAGUCCUAUCCUAAAAUAGAAUCAUUAAAGAAGCAAACAUAUGCAAACAAUGCAAACAUAACAGCAAUCUGCCUAAACAGGAUAGUCUGUAAAGAAUGCUGCAACAUCCAUACUUCCCUAGCUCCAAAAAUUAUGAAAGAAAAUUCCCACUGUAGUAAAUUUAGCAGAGCUUAAUAUUCAAAAGGUUUCAACAUUUUAUCAUAUUCUGACUUUUCUAGGGAAUUAUUGCAACAGCGGUAAACUUUCUGUUUUCAAACAGCAACAUGAAGACUUGUAACAUAGGCAUAGUAAAGACUAUCAAUGCCACUUUUAUUGGAAUAAAAUAUGAAAAACAAUGUUCUAAAUAACAGCAAGAAAAUCCUAACAAAAUAAAUUUACGCUCCAAGCAAAACACAUAUCAUGUGGCGAAUAAAAAUAUAGCUCCAAGUAAAGUUACCGAUGAACGAAGACGAAAGAGGGGAUGCCUUCCGGGGCAUCCCCAAGCUUAGGCUCUUGGUUGUCCUUGAAUAUUACCUUGGGGUGCCUUGGUCAUCCCCAAGCUUAGGCUCUUGACACUCCUUAUUCCAUAGUCCAUCGAAUCCUUACCCAAAACUUGAAAACUUCACAACACAAAACUUAACAGAAAACUCGUAAGCUCCGUUAGUAUAAGAAAAUAAAUCACCACUUAAAGGUACUGUAAUGAACUCAUUAUUUAUUUAUAUUGGUGUUAAUCCUACUGUAUUUCAACUUCUCUAUGGUUUAUAAACUAUUUUACUAGCCAUAGAUUCAUCGAAAUAAGCAAACAACACACGAAAAACAGAAUCUGUCAAAAACAGAACAGUCUGUAGUAAUCUGGAUCAAACGUAUACUUCUGGAACUCAUAAAAUUCUCAAAUAAAUUUCUGGACCUAAGUAAUUUGUCUAUUAAUCAUCUUCAAAAAGAAUUAUCUAAAUAUCACUCUCAAAAUAAAAAUGGAUGCAAUUCUCGUGAGCACUAAAGUUUCUGUUUUUGACAGCAUGAUCAGCAAGACUUUCCCCAAGUCUUCCCAAAGGUUCUACUUGGCACAAACAGUAACUAAAAGCAUAAAACCACAUCUAAUCAGAGUCUAGAUGGAUUAUUUAUUAUUAAACAGGAACAAGAAGCAAGGAACAAAAAUAAAAUUGGGUUGCCUCCCAACAAGCGCUAUCGUUUAAUGGCCCUAGCUAGACAUGAUGAUUUCAAUGAUGCUCACAUAAAAGAUAAGAAUUGAAACAUAAAGAGAGCAUCAUGAAGAAUAUGACUAGCACAUUUAAGCCUAACAUACUUCCUAUGAAUAGGGAUUUUGUGAGCAAACAACUUAUGGGAACAAUAAUCAACUUGCAUAGGAAGGUAAAACAAGCAUAACUUCAAAACUUUAAGCACAUAGAGAGGAAACUUGAUAUUAUUACAAUUCCUACAAGCAUAUGUUCCUCCCACAUAAUAAUUUUCAGUAGCAUCAUGAAUGAAUUCAACAAUAUAACCAGCACCUAAAGCAUUCUUUUCAUGAUCUACAAGCAUAGAAAUUUUAUUACUCUCCACACAAGCAAAAUUCUUCUCAUGAAUAAUGGGAGUAUCAUAGGAAACUCGAAUACUAUAAAUUGUUUCCAUGUUAAAAGAGUAAGGUUCAGAGAAGGGGUAAUCAUAAUCAUGACAAGUUUUAUAAAUAUAAUCACUACUUUUUAUAGCAUAAGUAUCAUCACAAUAAUCAUCAUAAGUAGGGGGCAUGCCAUCAUCAUUAUAAACUUGCAUAUCAAAACUUGGGAGACUAAAAAUAUCAUCUUCAUUAAUCAUAGCUUCCCCAAGCUUGGGACAAACAUUAAUUGCAGAAAAUAUAUUCUCAAAUAUGUCAUCCUCAUCAAACAUAGCUUCCCCAAGCUUGGGCCUUUUCAUAUCAUAAGCAUAAUCACUCUCAUCAUUAAUAGUAUAGAUAGCACCGAUAGUAUAGCAAUUAUUAUAUUCUUCCAAGCAAGUGCCAAAAAGAUUUUCAAGAUCAUAAGAAGUAUCAUUAUCUUCCCAAUCAUAAUCAUCACAACAAGCAAUAGGCAUAAUGAGAUCAUCAUCAAGUGUAUCAUCUUCAUUUUCAUGAGGCACAACAAUAAUAGGAGCAACUUUAUUUGGGAGAGAUACCUUUUUACCUCUCUUCCUUUUUCUUUUCUUCUUCUUCACCACAUCAUGUGUGGGUUCAAUCCUCUUUUUGGAGCUCCUCAUUAAUGAGAUUGGUUGAAUAGGAGGCUCCUCCUCGUUACCUGAUUCAUCAUAAGAAAUAAUAGGAGGGUAUAGGGAGGCCUCUUCCCUUUCAUUAGUAUUCUCUUCGUCUUCUAUUUCUUUUCUUUUCUUUAUGUAGUUGGCAAUAUAAGGAUUUUCAAUACAAUUCACCGCACAAUACAUAUAAAUUUCCUUUAGAUCAAAACCAAGAAGUUUAUAACGGGAAAAUUCCGGAAGAUAGUUAGUUAUACAUUUCAUUUCUUCAUAGCCCAUAAGCAAACUAAGUUCAUUAUAGUGUGCAAGGGAAAUCAAGUCAUCACAAUUUUUGGACACGGUUAGAUCAUGAAACAAUUUGCAUCGGAUAACUAAAUGACCACUUUCAUUGCAAAGUCCACAAGUACGGCCAAGAAAAUUUAAAUUUUCAGCACAAUCAUCUAGCCUUUCUUGCAACAAUUUAGUUUCUAAGUACUUAUGCUUCAUGCACUAUCUAUCUUCCCUAUUUGGUGUGUACUUACAAACCCAAUGCACUCCACAAAAAUUGACAUGUUUAUAGGAGACAUUUUCAUCAUAACUAGUGCAAUCAUCAUUAGUGUCAUGGAUAUUCAAAGAAUUCGUACUAACAACAUUGCAAUCAUGCGCAUCAUUCACAUAUUUUAUGCCAAGCAUUCUAUGUAAUUCUUCUUCUAGCAUUUGGGCACAAUUUUCCUUUCCAUCAUACUUAUGAAAAAUAUUAAAAAGGUGAAGCGUAUGAGACAAACUCAAUUCCAUUUUUUAUAGUUUUCUUUUAUAAACUAAACUAGUGAUAAAACAAGAAACUAAAAGACUUGAUUGCAAGAUCUAAAGAUAUACCUUCAAGCGCUAACCUCCCCGGCAACGGCGCCAGAAAAGAGCUUGAUGUCUACUACACAACCUUCUUCUUGUAGACGUUGUUGGGCCUCCAAGUGCAGAGGUUUGUAGGACAGUAGCAAAUUUCCCUCAAGUGGAUGACCUAAGGUUUAUCAAUCCGUAGGAGGCAUAGGAUGAAGAUGGUCUCUCUCAAGCAACCCUACAACCAAAUAACAAAGAGUCUCUUGUGUCCCCAACACACCCAAUACAAUGGUAAAUUGUAUAGGUGCACUAGUUCGGCAAAGAGAUGGUGAUACAAGUGGUAUAUGGAUAAUAGAUAAAGGUAUUUGUAAUCUGAAAAUAUAAAAACAGCAAGGUAACUAAUGAUAAAAGUGAGCGUAAACGGUAUUGCAAUGCUAGGAAACAAGGCCUAGGGUUCAUACUUUCACUAGUGUAAGUUCCCUCAACAAUACUAACAUAAUUGGAUCACAUAACUAUCCCUCAACAUGCAACAAAGAGUCACUCCAAAGUCACUAAUAUCGGAGAACGAACGAAGAGAUUAUGGUAGGGUACGAAACCACCUCAAAGUUAUUCUUUCCAAUCAAUUCGUUGGGCUAUUCCUAUAAUUGUCACAAACAGCCCUAGAGUUCGUACUAGAAUAACACCUUAAGACACAAAUCAACCAAAACCCUAAUGUCACCUAGAUACUCCAAUGUCACCUCAAAUAUCCGUGGGUAUGAUUAUACGAUAUGCGUCACACAAUCUCAGAUUCUAUUCAACCAACACAAAGGACCUCAAAGAGUGCCCCAAAGUUUCUACCAGAGAAUCACGACGAAAACGUGUGCCAACCCCUAUGCAUAGGUUCAUGGGCGGAACCCGCAAGUUGGUCACUAAAACAUACAACAAGUGGCACGUGGUAUCCCAUUGUCACCACAGAUAUCCACGGCAAGACAUACAUCAAGUGUUCUCAAAUCUUUAAAGACUCAAUCCGAUAAGAUUACUUCAAAGGGGAAACUCAAUUCAUUACAAGAGAGAAGAGGGGGAGGAGAAACAUAAGAUCCAACUACAAUAGCAAAGCUCGCGAUACAUCAAGAUCGUGCCAAAUCAAGAACACGAGAGAGAGAGAGAGAGAGAUCAAACACAUAGCUACUGGUACAUACCCUCAGCCCCGAGGGAGAACUACUCCCUCCUUGUCAUGGAGAUCACCGUGAUGAUGAAGAUGGCCACCAAGGAGGAUUUCCCCCUCCGGCAGGGUGCCUCCGGUUAAUAGGUUAGUCCCGAAAGUAAUAUAAAAGUGGAUAAUAAAGCCCAAUAAUGCCCAAAACAGUAGAUAAUAUAGCAUGGAGCAAUCAAAAAUUAUAGAUACGUUGGAGACGUAUCACCAUGCGGAAGGUCGCCGCUGGUGGUCGCCGUGUAGAUCUUCCCACCGUCGAUAAUCACAAAGCUACCUGUGAGGGAGUGGUGGCAUAGACAGGGGAGAGUGGGCGGUGAGAGAGGGAUGAGGAGAUUUAUGGGGCGGUUUUGAGAAACUAUGCACCCUCCCCCUCUCGUCCCCGCGUGUGCAGCCACGUGGCCUCCUUGCGCUCGCUCGUGCCUGACUCGCUAGAAACGGUUGAUUCGGCCAUUACUCCAAAGCCGGGCUCUAGGCUGCUUUGAGUAGUGUGCUAUGCAAGCCUAACCGCACACGCAUCUAACCAAACGACCAAAAUUACCUUCCCAGAUUGCUAGAGAUGAUGUGGGCAACCAAACACGCCCAAGGUAGCAUGUCUGGCGUCCAUGUAGUAGUAUAUGAUGUGAUGGUUUCUCAGAAACCCCGGGGAUGGAAUGGAUGGAGGGCAUGUCAAAUACUCCCUCCAUUUCUUUAUGUAAGGUGUAUUAUUUUUGGCACGGUGACCAAGACACAUAAUUAUAGACAUGUUAGGACCAAAUUACCCUUGGCAAAUUUGUUGGUUAGUGGCAAGUAAAUCAGUUACUCCGGGAAAGUAAGACAUACAUGCAAUCAACAAAGAGGAUACAGACAAUUAGGAGAGAGAUACUUUCCUUUUUUUCUGGAGGGCUAACAAGAAAAUUAUGAGGAAUUAGAAGAAAUGCAUCUUACAUUCUGGAACUUUAUCAAAAAACAAAUACACCUUAUUGAGAAACAAUAUAACGGAACGAGCUACGAGCAUCCACGGCGCUUGCCAUCACUAACUGUCCGAUCAGGUCGAUCUUGGAUGUCCUGAUGUUUCUCUUGGGCCGCUGCUCGGUGGAGCUAUCUAGGCCGGCUGUGAUUGUUUGGGCCACCUGUGCUUAUUGGGCUGGCGGUUGCGUGCGUUUAACCCAACUAAUGAAGUUUGAAACAUGAUUCUAGCCCAAAAGUUUGAAACAUAUCAAUCCCCUAGCACAAGUCUAUGAAGGGUUUCGUAGUAAUUUCAAAAAUUUUCCUACGUGCACACAGGAUCAUGUGAUGCAUAGCAACGAGGGGGAGAGUAUUGUCUACGUACCCUACGCAGACCGACUGCGGAAGCGAUGACACGACGUAGAGGAAGUAGUCGUACGUCUUCACGAUCCAACCGAUCAAGCACCGAAACUACGGCACCUCCGAGUUCGAGCACACGUUCAGCUCGAUGACGAUCCCCGGACUCCGAUCCAGCAAAGUGUCGGGGAAGAGUUCCGUCAGCACGACGGCGUGGUGACGAUCUUGAUGAACUACAGCAGCAGGGCUUCGCCUAAACUCCGCUACAGUAUUAUCGAGGAAUAUGGUGGCAGGGGGCACCGCACACGGCUAAGGAAUCGAUCACGUGGAUCAACUUGUGUCAACUUGUGUGUUUAGAGGUGCCCCUGCCUCCGUAUAUAAAGGAGGAGAGGAGGGGAGGCUGGCCGGCCAAAGGGGGGAGGCGCAGGAGAGUCCUACUCCCUCUGGGAGUAGGAUUCCCCCUCCAAUCCUAGUCCAACUAGGAUUCCUCGGAGGGGAAAAGAGGAGGAGGGGGCCGGCCACCUCUCCUAGUCCUAAUAGGACUAGGGGAAGGGGGUGGCGCGCAGCCCAUCUAGGGCAGCCCCUUCUCUUUUCCACUAAGGCCCACUAUGGCCCAAAAAGCUCCCGGGGGGUUCCGGUAACCCUCUCGGUAUUCCGGUAAAAUCCCGAUUUCACCCGGAACACUUCCGAUAUCCAAAUAUAGGCUUCCAAUAUAUCAAUCUUUACGUCUCGACUAUUUCGAGACUCCUCGUCAUGUCCGUGAUCACAUCCGGGACUCCGAACAACCUUCGGUACAUCAAAAUGCAUAAACUCAUAAUAUAACUGUCAUCGUAACCUUAAGCGUGUGGACCCUACGGGUUCGAGAACAAUGUAGACAUGACCGAGACACGUCUCCGGUCAAUAACCAAUAGCGGGACCUGGAUGCCCAUAUUGGCUCCUACAUAUUCUACGAAGAUCUUUAUCGGUCAGACCGCAUAACAACAUACGUUGUUCCCUUUGUCAUCGGUAUGUUACUUGCCCGAGAUUCGAUCGUCGGUAUCCAAUACCUAGUUCAAUCUCGUUACCGGCAAGUCUCUUUACUCGUUCCGUAAUACAUCAUCUCACAACUAACAUAUUAGUUGUAAUGCUUGCAAGGCUUAUGUGAUGUGUAUUACCGAGAGGGCCCAGAGAUACCUCUCCGACAAUCGGAGUGACAAAUCCUAAUCUCGAAACACGCCAACCCAACAUCGACCAUUGGAGACACCUGUAGUACUCCUUUAUAAUCACCCAGUUACGUUGUGACGUUUGGUAGUACCCAAAGUGUUCCUCCGGUAAACGGGAGUUGCAUAAUCUCAUAGUCAUAGGAACAUGUAUAAGUCAUGAAGAAAGCAAUAGCAACAUACUAAACGAUCGGGUGCUAAGCUAAUGGAAUGGGUCAUGUCAAUCAGAUCAUUCUACUAAUGAUGUGACCUCGUUAAUCAAAUAACAACUCAUUGUUCAUGGUUAGGAAACAUAACCAUCUUUGAUUAACGAGCUAGCCAAGUAGAGGCAUACUAGUGACACUCUGUUUGUCUAUGUAUUCACACAUGUAUUAUGUUUCCGGUAAAUACAAUUCUAGCAUGAAUAAUAAACAUUUAUCAUGAUUAUAAGGAAAUAAAUAAUAACUUUAUUAUUGCCUCUAGGGCAUAUUUCCUUCAGUCUCCCACUUGCACUAGAGUCAAUAAUCUAGAUUACACUGUAAUGAAUCUAACACCCAUGGAGCUUUGGUGCUGAUCUUGUUUUGCUCGUGGAAGAGGCUUAGUCAACGGGUCUGCAACAUUCAGAUCCGUAUGUAUCUUGCAAAUCUCUAUGUCUCCCACCUGGACUAGAUCCCGGAUGGAGUUGAAGCGUCUCUUGAUGUGUUUGGUCCUUUUGUGAAAUCUGGAUUCCUUUGCCAAGGCAAUUGCACCAGUAUUGUCACAAAAGAUUUUCAUUGGACCCGAUGCACUAGGUAUGACACCUAGAUCGGAUAUGAACUCCUUCAUCCAGACUCCUUCAUUUGCUGCUUCCGAAGCAGCUAUGUAUUCCGCUUCACAUGUAGAUCCCGCUACGACGCUUUGUUUAGAACUGCACUAACUAACAGCUCCACCGUUUAAUGUAAACACGUAUCCGGUUUGCGAUUUAGAAUCGUCCGGAUCAGUGUCAAAGCUUGCAUCAACGUAACCUUUUACGAUGAGCUCUUUGUCACUUCCAUAUACGAGAAACAUAUCCUUAGUCCUUUUCAGGUAUUUCAGGAUGUUCUUGACCGCUGUCCAGUGAUCCAUUCCUGGAUUACUUUGGUACCUCCCUGCUAAACUUAUAGCAAGGCACACAUCAGGUCUGGUACACAGCAUUGCAUACAUGAUAGAGCCUAUGGCUGAUGCAUAGGGAACAUCUUUCAUAUUCUCUUUAUCUUCUGCAGUGGUCGGGCAUUGAGUCUUACUCAAUUUCACACCUUGUAACACAGGCAAGAACCCUUUCUUCGCUUGAUCCAUUUUGAACUUCUUCAAAAUUUUGUCAAGGUAUGUGCUUUGUGAAAGUCCAAUUAAGCGUCUUGAUCUAUCUCUAUAGAUCUUAAUGCCUAAUAUGUAAGCAGCUUCACCGAGGUCUUUCAUUGAAAAACUUUUAUUCAAGUAUCCCUUUAUGCUAUCCAGAAAUUCUAUAUCAUUUCCAAUCAGUAAUAUGUCAUCCACAUAUAAUAUCAGAAAUGCUACAGAGCUCCCACUCACUUUCUUGUAAAUACAGACUUCUCCGAAAGUCUGUAUAAAACCAAAUGCUUUGAUCACACUAUCAAAACUUUUAUUCCAACUCCGAGAGGCUUGCACCAGUCCAUAAAUGGAUCGCUGGAGCUUGCACACUUUGUUAGCUCCCUUUGGAUCGACAAAACCUUCUGGUUGCAUCAUAUACAACUCUUCUUCCAGAAAUCCAUUCAGGAAUGCAGUUUUGACAUCCAUUUGCCAAAUUUCAUAAUCAUAAAAUGCGGCAAUUGCUAACAUGAUUCGGACGGACUUAAGCAUCGCUACGGGUGAGAAGGUCUCAUCAUAGUCAAUUCCUUGAACUUGCCGAAAACCUUUUGCGACAAGUCGAGCUUUGUAGACAGUAACAUUACCAUCAGCGUCAGUCUUCUUCUUAAAAAUCCAUUUAUUCUCAAUUGCUUGCCGAUCAUCGGGCAAGUCAACCAAAGUCCAUACUUUGUUCUCAUACAUGGAUCCCAUCUCAGAUUUCAUGGCUUCAAGCCACUUUACGGAAUCUGGGCUCACCAUCGCUUCUUCAUAGUUCGUAGGUUCAUCAUGAUCUAGUAGCAUGACCUCCAGAACAGGAUUACCGUACCACUCUGGUGCGGAUCUUACUCUGGUUGAUCUACGCGGUUCAGUAGUAUCUUGAUCUGAAGUUUCAUGAUCAUUAUCAUUGGCUUCCUCACUAACUGGUGUAGGUGUCACUGAAACAGUUUUCUGUGAUGAACUACUUUCCAGUAAGGGAGCAGGUACAGUUACCUCGUCAAGUUCUACUUUCCUCCCACUCACUUCUUUCGAGAGAAACUCCUUCUCUAGAAAUGAUCCAUCCUUAGCAACGAAUGUUUUGCCUUCGGAUCUGUGAUAGAAGGUGUACCCAACAGUUUCCUUUGGGUAUCCUAUGAAGACACAUUUCUCCGAUUUGGGUUCGAGCUUAUCAGGUUGAAGCUUUUUCACAUAAGCAUCGCAGCCCCAAACUUUAAGAAACGACAACUUUGGUUUCUUGCCAAACCACAGUUCAUAAGGCGUCGUCUCAACGGAUUUUGAUGGUGCCCUAUUUAACGUGAAUGCGGCCGUCUCUAAAGCAUAUCCCCAAAAUGAUAGCGGUAAAUCAGUAAGAGACAUCAUAGAUCGCACCAUAUCUAGUAAAGUACGAUUACGACGUUCGGACACACCAUUACGCUGUGGUGUUCCGGGUGGCGUGAGUUGCGAAACUAUUCCACAGUUUUUCAAAUGUACACCAAACUCGUAACUCAAAUAUUCUCCUCCACGAUCAGAUCGUAGAAAUUUUAUUUUCUUGUUACGAUGUUUUUCAACUUCACUCUGAAAUUCUUUGAACUUUUCAAAUGUUUCAGACUUAUGCUUCAUUAAGUAGAUAUAUCCAUAUCUGCUCAAAUCAUCUGUGAAGGUGAGAAAAUAACGAUAUCCGCCUCGAGCCUCAAUAUUCAUCGGACCACAUACAUCGGUAUGUAUGAUUUCCAACAAAUCUGUUGCUCUCUCCAUAGUACCGGAGAACGGUGUUUUAGUCAUCUUGCCCAUGAGGCACGGUUCGCAAGUACCAAGUGAUUCAUAAUCAAGUGGUUCCAAAAGUCCAUCAGUAUGGAGUUUCUUCAUGCGCUUUAUACCGAUAUGACCUAAACGACAGUGCCACAAAUAAGUUGCACUUUCAUUAUCAACUCUGCAUCUUUUGGUUUCAACAUUAUGAAUAUGUGUAUUACUACUAUCGAGAUUUAAUAAGAAUAGACCACUCUUCAAGGGUGCAUGACCAUAAAAGAUAUUACACAUAUAAAUAGAACAACCAUUAUUCUCAGAUUUAAAUGAAUAACCGUCUCGCAUUAAACAAGAUCCAGAUAUAAUGUUCAUGCUCAACGCUGGCACCAAAUAACAAUUACUUAGGUCUAAUAUUAAUCCCAAAGGUAGAUGUAGAGGUAGCGUGCCGAUUGCGAUCACAUCGACUUUGGAACCGUUUCCCACGCGCAUCGUCACCUCGUCCUUAGCCAAUCUUCGCUUAAUCCGUAGCCCCUGUUUCGAGUUGCAAAUAUUAGCAACAGAACCAGUAUCGAAUACCCAGGUGCUACUGCGAGCAUUAGUAAGGUACACAUCAAUAACAUGUAUAUCACAUAUACCUUUGUUCACCUUGCCAUCCUUCUUAUCCGCCAAAUACUUGGGGCAGUUCCGCUUCCAGUGACCAGUCUGCUUGCAGUAGAAGCACUCAGUUUCAGGCUUAGGUCCAGACUUGGGUUUCUUCUCUUGAGCAGCAACUUGCUUGCCGUUCUUCUUGAAGUUCCCCUUUUUCUUCCCUUUGCCCUUUUUCUUGAAACUAGUGGUCUUGUUAACCAUCAACACUUGAUGCUCCUUCUUGAUUUCUACCUCCGCAGCUUUCAGCAUUGCGAAGAGCUCGGGAAUAGUCUUGUUCAUCCCUUGCAUAUUAUAGUUCAUCACGAAGCUCUUGUAGCUUGGUGGUAGUGAUUGGAGAAUUCUAUCAAUGACGCAAUCAUCCGGAAGAUUAACUCCCAAUUGAAUCAAGUGAUUAUUAUACCCAGACAUUUUGAGUAUAUGCUCACUGACAGAACUGUUCUCCUCCAUUUUGCAGCUAUAGAACUUAUUGGAGACUUCAUAUCUCUCAAUUCGGGCAUUUGCUUGAAAUAUUAACUUCAACUCCUGGAACAUCUCAUAUGCUCCAUGACGUUCAAAACGUCGUUGAAGUCCCGAUUCUAAGCCGUAAAGCAUUGCACACUGAACUAUCGAGUAGUCAUCAGCUUUGCUCUGCCAGACGUUCAUAACAUCUGGCGUUGCUCCAGCAGCAGGCCUGGCACCCAGCGGUGCUUCCAGGACGUAAUUCUUCUGUGCAGCAAUGAGGAUAAUCCUCAAGUUACGGACCCAGUCCGUGUAAUUGCUACCAUCAUCUUUCAACUUUGCUUUCUCAAGGAACGCAUUAAAAUUCAACGGAACAACAGCACGAGCCAUCUAUCUACAAUCAACAUAAACAAGCAAGAUACUAUCAGGUACUAAGUUCAUGAUAAAUUUAAGUUCAAUUAAUCAUAUUACUUAAGAACUCCCACUUAGAUAGACAUCCCUCUAAUCCUCUAAGUGAUUACGUGAUCCAAAUCAACUAAACCAUAACCGAUCAUCACGUGAGAUGGAGUAGUUUUCAAUGGUGAACAUCGUUAUGUUGAUCAUAUCUACUAUAUGAUUCACGCUCGACCUUUCGGUCUCCGUGUUCCAAGGCCAUAUCUGCAUAUGCUAGGCUCGUCAAGUUUAACCUGAGUAUUCUGCGUGCGCAACUGUUUUGCACCCGUUGUAUUUGAACGUAGAGCCUAUCACACCCGAUCAUCACGUGGUGUCUCAGCACGAAGAACUUUCGCAACGGUGCAUACUCAGGGAGAACACUUCUUGAUAAUUUAGUGAGAGAUCAUCUUAUAAUGCUACCGUCAAUCAAAGCAAGAUAAGAUGCAUAAAAAGAUAAACAUCACAUGCAAUCAAUAUAAGUGAUAUGAUAUGGCCAUCAUCAUCUUGUGCUUGUGAUCUCCAUCUCCGAAGCACCGUCAUGAUCACCAUCGUCACCGGCGCGACACCUUGAUCUCCAUCGUAGCAUCGUUUUCGUCUCGCCAAUCUUAUGCUUCCACGACUAUCACUACCGUUUAGUAAUAAAGUAAAGCAUUACAUCGCGAUUGCAUUGCAUACAAUAAAGCGACAACCAUAUGGCUCCUGCCAGUUGCCGAUAACUUGGUUACAAAACAUGAUCAUCUCAUACAAUAAAAUUCAGCAUCAUGCCUUGACCAUAUCACAUCACAACAUGCCCUGCAAAAACAAGUUAGACGUCCUCUACUUUGUUGUUGCAUGUUUUACGUGGCUGCUACGGGCUUAAGUAAGAACCAAUCUCACCUACGCAUCAAAACCACAACGAUAGUUUGUCAAAUAGACUCCGUUUUAA